UUUUUUUUGUUAACAAAAAAAAAAUGCCACAUACUGCAAAAUGUGAGGAAAAGGAAUAAACACACAUAUAAAGUUAAACAAUACCGCAAAAAACACUGACCUAUGUAAAGCAUUAAGCAGCAUAUGGUAUACUAGAAAACAGGAGUGUUGGCCAAUACAAUUAUUGAUUAAGUCAGUUUAUCCAUCUAUCAAUGAUAUUUCAUCUAGAUGUUAAUCACCAAAUAAUGCAUAUAUAUACAUUGAAACAGAGGAAACAAGAAUACAUCUUAGCAAAUUCUUAAAACUUAAAUUGGCACAUCCUAGUUUACUCUUAAUAAUUUUAAAUUUAAUUAUAGCAACCAAUUCUCAUAUAAGGUCAAGGCCUUUGCUUGGUUAAUGGCAUACAAAAAGGUAAAUAGAAAUGACAUGCUGCAGUUGAGAAGACCUUUCAAAUCCCUCACUACCAAUUGGUGCAUCUUAUGUAUGGGGAAUGGAGGGAUGAUUGAUCAUCUCUUCCUACACUGUCCAAUAAAUUCAGGGCUAUGACACAAUCUAUUCAAACAAGCUAGGCUGGAUUGGGUGCAGCCUAAGAGUAUACGCAACAUGAUGACCAUUUCAUAUAGGGAUUUGGGGAGCUCCAUCAAAGGCAAGAUCCUUUGGAAAAUGGCUUGUCUCACUUUAUUUUGAAUCAUGUGGCAUGAAAGAAAUCUUAGGAUCUUUGAGGAUAAGUGGGGAAUGUCAGAGAUAUUGUGAGAUCUACUUCACUUCCAUUCCUCUUUUGGAGCCUCUUGUACCGACUACUUUAAAGGCAUUCCUCUCAAUUUCAUUCAACUCAAUUGGCAUUCAAUGUGUAGACCAAAAGGGUUGGAUUAGCAAUGCGGAGCUUAGCUCGGGUUUGAGAAAAUGAUCUUUGUAAAUUAUUUUUUUCUUUUUGACAGGUGAUUUUUGUACAUUAUUAUGCGGUCUAUCCCAUUUUGUAUAGAUCUCCUUGUAUAGUGGAGGAGUUCAAUCAUGCCUUGAUCAGUUUUAUGUAUUUGCGGGGAGGACUCUUCAGCCUUCCCAUUAACUCUUUAUCCAUAAUAAAUACAUCUCUUGUUUCUGAUUAAAAGGAAAAAUUAGAGCAACUGAUUUCACAAGAGAGCAUCAUCAGUUAUACCAUAUUCCCAAACAUCAAAUAUUCCAAUGAGACAAAACAUAAGCAUUCAGUUUAUUUGCUUUAUUUUCCAUCGAGUGAGAAAGGGAGGGAACAGGGCAUACCGGAUAAUUCCUAGCAAAGAACAAUAAAUUCUCCAAUGAUAUAAAACCACCACCCCUACCAGAAAGGGUCCAUAUAUAAGAAUUAGGAAACAGAAAAUCUAAAGUGCUAACAUCAAAAGAGCUCAAAAGAGAAUAAAGGAAACACUGACAUACCUAAAAUCUGUGGAUGGAUCUUUUCCUUGCCAACCCAUUUCUUUCCACUGCUCAGAUAUUAAAUCACGGAGUUCUUCCUCAGGAAAUGAAGCAUUCCACAAAGCCCUUAAGGCUUCCUACAAUUGCACAGCAAUCAUAAAUAAAAUUGAUGAAAUGGAGCAUUUACACUAAAACAAGUGAUGUGAAUAAAUGGAUGCAUGACAGUCACUAAAAAGGUCAAGGGCCAUAAGGAUGAAAUCUACAAACCAUGCAUUUUAUCUGCAUAAAUUUGGUGUCAGUACCAAAGAGCACAAUCAAUCUAAAGAAAGAAAGGUACCUGGUGUUCAGAGAUUGAACUGUCAUAGGACACUUCUAUACGGCUCUGUAGCCUCUGCAAGCAUUCCUCCUGACAACACCAAAGCCAAGGAAAAGAUUAUGGAUUUUUGUGGUAUUAUUUGCAACUCGCAGAAAACAAAACAAGACAGAACUGAAAGUGAGUUGAGAAGCACAAUUUUCCUGGCUUUAUUGGUAACUACUCCUUAUAAGGAACCAGUUACAAAGCAAUUUGAAUUUCCAGUCUCAAGCAUGAUGAAAGAUACUAUAGAAUGAUAAACAAGUGAGUUGGGGUUUUUCUUUGUAUUUAGUUUUCUAAAGUCGGGUGUUUUCUCUUUUGUUCAGUUUUUGUUUUUGUGGGAAGGACCUCUCAUCCUUCUCUUGUUUCUUCUCUUUCUCUUGUAUCUCUUCCUUCUCUUGUAUCUUUUCUUCUUUUAAUAUAUUUUUCUUCGUUUCUGAUCAAUAAAUAAAUAAAUAAAUAUACUUUAAAAGAAUAAUAAUUAAAUAAAUUUCUCAUGAAAAGAAAUCCUAGAGCAUACAUAUAGGUGCAUAGGAACUUCCUUAUUAUCAAGAUAAAUAACCAUUUUUUAUCAGAGAAAUAAUUGUCACACUUCUUAUAAACAUUUACAACGGUACUGUGAAGGAAACAAUGAGGAUAGAGAAACAAUAAACAGAAGAAAAUGGAGGAGAAAAAUAUCAGGUUUUUAAACUGAGAUAGAAGGAACGUUUUUCCAUUUUCUUCGUAGUUUCAAAGAUUCAAAUGGAAACUUGGAGUUUCUGAAUAGUUCAACAAACAUGGCCAGCCUAAGAGUUAAAAGAAAAAAUUGCACAGAUAGACUAUUCACCUUGGAAGAAAGAAAACUUUUGGGAAGAAUGAAAAAAUUUAAAUAUAAAAAUAUAAAUAAAAGAAGAAGAAGAGAUAGAUUACUCACCUUGUAUUUCUUUUGCAUUUCUUUAUCUUUCUUUUAUAUUUCUUUAUCUUUAAUUUAAUACAUUUGUUGUUUUUGAUAAAAGAAAAAACAAAAAUUCACCUUGGAGCGAGGAAAACUUUUGGGAAGCAAAAAGUGGAAAAAAAUAAAUUAAAUAAAAUUAUAAUUAUAAUUAUAAAAUUAUAAAAAAAUUAUAAUAAAAAAUAAAUAAAAUAAAAUAAAAAGGAGGAGUAAAAUUUAAAAGAAGAAGAAGAAGAGGAAGAAAAAGAAGAAGUACCAACUUAUAAAACUGGGGCCUGAUCCACAUGGAUGCCAAAUGCAUAAAACCUACCAAAGUGGACCCCAAAAUGAUGGGAUGAGACUUCCUGGUUCAGGUUCUUUUAAAAAUGUGAUGCCUUAAACUAUAUCAGGAAACAGUAUUUUUAUUUUAAUAAGAUCAGUUUCUACCUACCAGGAACCUUUCUGCCACAUUAAUAAUCACAUUUCAAUCAUCAGUUCCCUACUGCUGCAAAGCUUUUAGUUCUGAAAGUGAUUAGUUUCGAUAAACUAAAGCUGGAUCACAGGUGACAGAGAUGCUGUAGACGUAAAAGACUGAUAAACAUUUUUUAUAAGAAAUAUUUAAAGGAGUGCUUAACUUUUGAUAAGCAACCAAACCCUUCAAGACAUUGCAGGCAAGGGAUUUGCUUAUUUCACUGGAAUGGGUUAUGCUCCAGUGGUACUUCUUCAGAGGAGCACAUUAUUUUUUUUUUAUAAGUAAGAGAGUGAAUAUAUUAAUUCAGAGGAGCACAUUAUGAUAUGAAGGAUUUCGUUGUAAUCAAUAUCAAUAGAGUAAUAGUAAAUAAUAAGUAAUACAAUGAUUUCUAACUAUAACUAUAUUUCUAAUCGCAGUACAGUAUUUAAUUUAAGGAUCUUGUAUGAUACUCUUGCACGAAGAAUUCAAAGAAAAGAAUGGUUCGGAACAAAGAAAUGGGGCAUCUUUCACCUAGUAACGAAGGGCUUGAACCAAGAUUUCCAGAUGGAUGGGGUGGGGUAUUAGAGUGCCACAAUCUGGAUCUUUGGAUAUUAAUUAUGGUAGGAAAAACUGGCCCUAAAGAGGAAGGCCGCUGAACUAUAUAUAGCAGUCUUGUUGACCAGGGAAACAAAGCAAAAUAAACUUGCCUAAUCACCACAGCCAAAACCAAGAACCAUGAGGAGGCUUGACUAGUCACUUUCUUCAAUGUAGACCAUCAGAAGAUCUAAUUCUGCUGAUAUAGUGGUUGACGGUUCUAAAUUGAUAAACCAGUUCAUAUUUUCUGCAUGGGUUAAGAAAAAAUACAGCUGUGCAUCAGGGAGCCCAUGGUUGAUAAAACUAGCAAAAUAGUUAAUUUUAAAAAAAGCGUCUCCGGCCUACACCUUGUUGAACUGGUUUUUUUUUUGUUUUUUUGGAUGGGCCUGAUUGAACUGGUUUAUCCUUGAAUAUCCAUACAACCUUGUCAAUAUUCAUAAGUUCAGUUCAUGUUAAAAUUGCUGCAGACUCGUCCUAGUUUUGUUUGCAAUUCAAUUUGAGGUUUGAUAUUUGUUCUUGCCUUUUGGUGACUCUUGUAUACUCCCUGUAUGCUUUGGGUUGCCUCUUUAACGCCCUUUUUCUAAUAUAUUCUGUGUUUAUCUAUCAAAAAAUAUAUAUAUCUAAUAUUAUCAAGGUACAGUCUUACAUAUGAAUUGCUAUUUUCAUGCAUUAUUUGAACAUGAUUUCGGAGUUAUCAGUACUUUUGAGCAAUCACCAGAGAAUACAAACAUGAUAUCAAAUUGGAUGGAUAUUAAAAUUCAAAGAGCAUAAUGAAGGAACAUAUGCAUUUGAGUAACAAAAGUAUUAAAGUGAAAAUUAAUCAGAUCACAAGAAUAACACCUGGGCAGGGGUUAAAUCGAAUGAGGGACGAGCAUCACUCUCUCUUCUCUGUGCACAAACACAAGAAAGACCUCUACCAAGCCAUGCUGCUGAUCCUGCCACAACCUCAGCUGUGACAAAACAAAACUGUCAGCUAAUAAAAGUGGCUGCUUUAAAUCUUGAAACUAAAAAGAAACAUAGUCUGACAGAUAAGAACAAAUAAGUCCAGAUGUUUAAAUAACCAAUAUAUCUUUCUCAAGACACUACCAAUGUCAAAAAUUACUUACAUGUUUUUCAAAAUUGUCCUCACAGGUCCCAAACAACUUAAUGUGAACCUCAAACAAUGUCACAAAAUUAACUUUACAAAGAAAACCAUUCUUAUGAACAAUAAUAACAUAUAAAGCCCAAAUAGAAGUACAGAAAAGCGCAAAAACACUUUGGGGAGAAAAGAAUAAAAAAGAAAAGAUGAUUUAUCAGACAUAUUUACAGAACAUUAUCUGCUUUCCAGCUAUUAUAGCAAGAAUUAUGCAUAAGGGAGGAAUAGCCACAAAGGAUGAAAGGCAAAGGGAAAGUAUUUGUCAUCCAUAUUAGUCCCACACUUUUGAGUCUUAGGGAAAAUAAUACACGAGGAAAAUUUACUACACAUGAGGCCUAUGCCUCAUUUUGCUAGGCAUGACCAGAGCUGCACAAGUCCCAACAAGUAAGCUUCAAUACAAUUUAAGGAUGCCUAGAAAAAUUACUAUGUUUCCACACCAGUCAAAGUACAAUGCACAAUGACAAAAUAUCAUAUCCAUAACAACUUUCAAGUGCCCAGUACCUAGACAUUCACCAUAAACUGAAAGUAUCAAUAAAAAUAUAAAGGAAACUUUCAAAAAAACGCCUGAGUCCAUCCAAGGAACAUUAUCAAAUAUGUUGAAAAAUACGAAACUUUCUAUAAUCACAUUAUGAUGAAUUGCAGCCAUUUAGCUAAUAUGUUUCCAUAAAGAAGGCUCCAAACACAAAAUUAAUCUUUCCACAUGCCCGAAACGGUGAAACUAUCUCGCCCCUAAUCAAACCAUGUAUAUAUACCACUUCUUUGUAUCGCAGAUCGGAAGUAAAGUUCAUUAAAUAGACAAUGAACUUAGCAUUUCAAUCAACUGAAGUUGCUCGGUAAAAGAAAAAACAAAUGGAAAAUGUCAUCUAUGCCUUUACGCUUUGUUUGAAUCUUAGAAACAACCAGGCCAACAAAAAGACGGAAAAACCAAUUUCUCUUGUUAGGUCGCCGCGGAAAAUAAGAAGAAUUAAAAAAAAUCAGGGAAAUUAUGGCGAAAAUCCCAUCAUUUUCCUUUCUCACAGUUCCUGAGAACCAAACAAAACCUUAAAAUAUACACUCGAUCGCCCAAAAGGAAAAGGGAGGGGGAAAAAAACCGAACUAGAAUGAAGAAAUCAGUAGCUGCAACUUGCUCACCCACCAAGACAAAUUUGGAUAUCAGUAAACAUGAAGUUAUUGACAAUUACGCUUAUACUCAAAUCUACGCAUAAAUAACCUAAUCUCAAUCCACAGAUCCAAACUCCAAGAAAUUACAGAGAGAAUGACAGUUUAGAGAGAGAAGAAGAGCUUUUUGUUAGAGAUAUAGUUUCUCUAGGAAGAGAAAGUUUCUAGAGAGAGAAAAAGUUAGAGAGAGAGAGAUGAGAAAAGAGGUUUGAAGAUGAAACAGUAAUUUACUAGAGAGCGUGUGUUUUACAGAGAGACAGAGUGAGAGGAGCAAAAGUUGGAUUCUCCGAUAUAAUUGUGUAGACGAACCAGGAAAGUUUUAAGAAAAAGAGAAUUCUACAGAGAGAAAAAUGAGAAGAAGGUGAAAACAGGCAAAAUUGGAAAAAAAUAAGAGCAUUUAUGGCGGAAAAAAAAGCAUACCAGACGUCGAAUGACAGGUGUUGCCUCUGUCGAGACCCUGAGAUAUCCUUCUGACAGCGACAAACGACCCUCCGCCGCGAUCAUCCAUAUCCGCUUCUCUCUCUAAAUCAAAAACACCAUUGCCAAAACUCCAAAUCCACAGAAAGCCCUAAAUGCACACAAAAUCAGCGCCAAGAACCAACAGAACCGAGUCCUCCCUGAACCGCACCGAAAAACGGACCAAAAAGCAGGCGGCAGCGGAUCCAGGAGCGGUUCUUGGAAGAAGAACAAGGAAUCUUGAGCGCGAGAGAAAUGUGGAGGAGUAAAACUGAAGGGAGAAACGGAGAGUUAGGGUUUGUCAAGAUCAGAGGCGCUUUUCUCUCUCUAUAAAAUGGCUGUCUCUCUCUCUCUCUCUCUUAUCUGUGCUGAGUUGGACUAUAUAUGUUGGUGGUGGUGUUGGUGGUGGGCAGUGGCGGUGGUGGAGGUGGUGGGCCGAUUAUUUUGUACGCCACGGUGGUAGCGGAGGUUUCGAAAUUGGGAUUUCUUGUUUCUCUUUUUUUAGGAGAAUUAAUAAUAAUAAUAUCGUUAAUUGGGUUUUUUUUGGGGUAUUUUUUUCCUUCUUUUUUUUUUUUUUUUUUGAAAAUUAUGAGUUCUUUUUAACGUGUGGUUUGAUGGUGAUGGGAUUGAAAUAGACAGAACGUGGGCCCUUAGUUUGGGUCAUGUUUUUUGAAUUUCCAAAUUUGAUGGGUCGGAUUUAUGGAUAUGGAAAAAUUUAGAUUUCAGGGUUUAAUAUUAAAAAAAUAUUUUCUUACAUUUGAUAUUAUUUAAAAAAAAAGUGAAAAUUUUAAAUAUAAUUAAACUUACUAAAAAAUAAAUAUUUUUUAAAAUUAUUUAAUUUUGAUAUUAAAUAAUUAAAAUAAGUAAAAUGAUUUUAAACCAAUAUAUAAAAAUAAUUAAAAAAAAAUUUUCCCUUUUUUUUUCUUUUCCACUUUUCUCAACUCUUCUAAAACAAAAAAUUUAACUCUAUGUAUAACAACUAUUUUCAAAACAAUUUUCUAUUAUCCAAAGCAAAAAAAAAUAAGAAAACAAUUUUGACUAUCAAAAAAUGUUUUUGUUUUUUCACAAACAAUGUUUGUUUUUUUUACUUUUUACCGAAAUCAAUUUGCUUUCAGAUUUUAUUUUUUUUUUUUAAUUUUUUAUAACUUUUUAUAAACUUUUUGUCAAAUGAAAAAAAACCAAAAUAUUUGACUUUUUCUAAAUAGAAAAAAAUAGAAUAUUGAUUUUUCUUUACUUUUUAAUACUUAAUAGAGAUAAAAUAUUAUAAAAACAAACAACUUAAUACUUACCAUUAUUAAGUAUUAAAGUUCUACUUAAAGUUAAAAAGUGAAAAAACAAGCAUCACCAAAGUGUUUUCAAAUGACGCCUUUUAUGUUAUAAAACAAUAAUAAAUGUUAUACAUAUAAAAUAGUAGAGAUAAAUUAUAUAUUACUUGGACAAUAAUAUAUAAUAGGGAGGAAGAAAUAACAAAAAAAAAUUAAGAAAGUUGAGAAAAUGAAAGAAUAAAUUUAUUUGUUGCCGAGGGAUGAUGGGAAGUCGUUUUCCAAAUGACUUUCAUUAAUAUUCUCAUUAAUGAAUAUUAAUAGAACUUAUAAAUAAUAUUAAUUAACAUUUAAUAUAAUAAAUGUAAUGGAAUUCAUUACUUCAUUUAUAACAUUUUAAUUAUUUUUAAUUGUAUUCACUUGUCUUAUACAGGUUAUUUUAAAAAUUAAUUAUACAAAUAUAUAGACUAGUUAAAAAUAAAAUACUAAAUAUAAAAAUUAUUUUUAAAAACUUAAAAAAAUGGGUUAAAUGCGGAACGUCAAAAACUAUUAUUGAAACCUAUUUUUAAAAACAAUUUUUGAAAUUAAAAAAAACCUUGGUAUAUUUUUUUAAAAUUAUUUAUUUUUUAUAUAGAAGAUAAAGUGAAAUAAGUUUAAAGAAAUAUAUAAACAAAAUUUAUAAAACUUUAUAUUUUCUAUUUUUUUUUAUCAAUUUUUUCUAAACACAUAAAGGGAUGAUUUGAUUGUUUAUUCAUAAGGUAAAGAAAGAGCCUUUGUGUGUGGAUUCUUUGCUUUUGGAUCUCAAGAUUCCAUCCCCAAGAAAGUUGAGAAUGGAUGAGAGAUUUGAUAACCAAAUCAAACUUUAGUUGGGUGGUGCCUAAUUUUAAAUAUAUUUAUUUAAUUUAUUCUUGAAAAAAAUUCAUAUUUAAUUCUCAUAUUCUUUGCCCUAUGUCUUUGGAGGCACUUCCUCAUGUUAGCCUAACCUUUUACCCUUUUUUUUUCCUUUUUUUAUUAUUAUUUGUUUGACCUUUCUUUCAUCUCUUACUUUUCUUUAUUCCUCUCUUCCUUAAAAUAAAGUAAAUCUAUGAUCUAUCUUUUGCACUUUGAUUCCAUCAUCCAUUGAAAGAUGAACCAUUUUUAGACCCAUUGGGAAUAAAGCUAGUAGCAUCAAACACCACAAAAAGAAAAAAUAAAUCACAAUAUUUGAGAAAAUUACCCUAUUUGGAAAUAAUUAUAAUAAAAAUGUUGUCAUUUUGUAAAAGCAAUCAAAAAAGUGAUUUCAAUAAUAUUUUAGUAAUAUAUUAUAUUUUAAAAUUUUACUACUUAAAUUUUAAACUUUCUAAAACUAUUUUUAGAGAUACGGUAAAUCUAUAUUUUUUUGUAUAAGAUGAUAUAUUUUUAUAUAAAAUAAAAUAAGUUGAAACAAAUAUUUAGGUCAUCUCCGACAACUAUUUUUUAAAAUGGUUUUUCGCUCUCCAACAAAUAAGAUAAAAUAUAAAAUGAGGUUUUAUUUGAAAACCGUAUUUUAAAACAUCUUUUUUGUUAUUCAAAACAAAAAUAGGAAAAACGUGUUUAGCAAUCAUAAAAUAAAAAAUAGUUUUUCUUUUUUGUUAAAACAGAAAACAAAAUGUUUUAAAAAAAAUAUCUUUUAAUUGUCUUCACUUUCCUCUUUUUUUUUUAAAAAAAAAAAAAGAAAAGAAUGGUUGAUCAUAUAAAUAUGGUGAAUAAUUUAAAAUAAAGUACUAAAAUAAAAAUUAUUUUUAAUAUAUAUAUAUAUUCAAAAUACUUCAACUUCCCAAAUGUACUUUUAUUCUACAAAAUAGUAGAAUGUAUUUUUCAAAAAAUAUUUUCAAAUACUAUUUUUCAGAUACUUAUUAAAACACUUUUCAAACAUGGCCUUACAUUUUUAAAAAUAGUUUUUGGAAUUUUUUAAAUACUCACAAUUUUAAUAAAAGUGUUUUCAAGAAUUAAAAAUGAUUUUAUAUUUCAUAAAAUUACCCACAAUGAUUUUUAUAUGGAGAAAAAAAAAUCUUAUUUGGGAUUUAAAGAUGAAUAUUUAAAUGAAUAAAAAAAAUAUUUUAGAAGUUUGUUUUGAGUUAUUUCAAUUAAGAUUUUUAGCUGUCUAGAAAGGAGUUUUUGUAAAAGAUUAUGAAGGUAUUAAGGAAAAAUGGAUUGUCUCAAUAAAAUACUAUUUCCAUAUUUUAGAAAUUAUAAUUUACACUUGAAAUCAAUUAAAAUUAAAUAUUUCCAUUACUUUUGUUUUUCAAAGUAUACAUGUUUUUCAAUAUUUAGUAUAUUAAAACUAACAUUCACAUAAUAUAUCUCAAUUUUAGAGUUUGUGUGGUAGUGAUUAAGGGGGUGUUUUUAGCUUAAAAAAAUUUUUUGAAAAUAAAUUAUAGUCUGUUUGGGAACUAAUUUUUAUAACAGUUUUCUGUUCUUCAUAACAAAAAAACACAUAGCAAUCAAACAUUAUUUUAUGUUUUCUAUUCUUAUUUCCACUUUUUUUUUUAUGGUUGUUUUAAGAAAUAAUUAUACAAACAUAUAAAAUAAUUAAAAAUAAAACACUAAACAAAAAAAUAUUUUUAAAAAUAUUGAAAAUAAGUUAAAAUAUAGAUUUCCAAACGGACUCUUAUUAUACAAAAAUUAGAUAACAGUUUUCAAAAUUAUUCUCAAAAACUAAUUUUUCAUAAUUGUUUUAAAAAACAGUUACCAAAUGGGCUCUAAUGUUUAGUAAAAUUUAAAAAACACUUUUAAAAUUGGGAAAAAUACAUUUGAUAAGUAAUUUUUUUUAAAAUACUUCGAGAUAAAAUAAUUUAACUCAAAACACUUUAAGUAAAAAGAGCAUAAAAUGCACUCUUAAUUUAAAUCAAAUGCGUUUCUUUUUCCUUUUUUUUUUAAAUAUAUAAAUUUCUUUGUGCUCACAAAUUAAAAAAAAAAAAUCAUUUAUUUCUUUUACAUAACUAAAGUAUAGAAAAACAUAUUCACUUAAAAAAAAUCAUUUAAAUUAAAAUAUAUUUAUUAAAAAUAAUUCAAGAUUUUAAAUUUUUUUUAUUUAAAAAUAUUUACAAAAGAUUCAACUUUAGAAUUGGAAAGUACUUUUGGAUGCAAUAUCCUAUGCCCUCCUCCAAUCCCAUUUGAAUGUGUAAAAUAUGAUUGAGAUAGGAAUCAAUGUGAUUAAAAAUACCACAAAAAAGACCUUAUAAUAAAAGAAUCUAAGUAAAAGUGUGUCCAAACAUAAAUAAUGUGAUAAAUGUCUACUUUAGAAACUUGCAACAUUCUCGUAUAAAUUUGGAAAAAGUGGGAUUUGAUUCAUUAAUAUGAAAAUAUAUGAAAUAAAACUCAAUUUUCUUAAAUUAAUAUUAUCUUCAUAUAUUUUAAAAUAAUUUGAAAUACAUGCACUUUUUAAUGAGUAUUCCAAUUAUUUAAAAAAAUGUCCUUUUACUUCAAUCAAUUAAUAAUUAGACUUCUUCAUCUUGAUGUUUUAUUUCAUUUUAGAUAUUUUAUUAUUAUUAUUAUUUUAUUAUCUUAUUAUUUGAGUUUUUUUUUUCUCUAGAAAGAAAUACCUUGUAGAAUUCUUAUUUUAGUUUAAGUUUAGGAAAUAUUAUUAAAAAAAUCUUAUUUAAAUAGGAUUAAUAUUUUUUUAUUUCCUAAAAUUUCAAGAAGAAAUAUUGUCCAACAAAUCCUAUUUAAUUAUAAUUACCAAUUCAAAAAGUAAUAAGUUUGUUUAUUAAAUAAUAAAUUUAAUAAUAUAUAAUUAUUUUAAUUAUAAUUAAUUUAUUUAAUAUAAAAUAAUUAUUCAUUUUUACACUAUAUAUCAAAGUACAAACAUAUUGUAAAACACUUUAUAUCUCAAAAACUUUUACAACAAAUUUUAUUCUAUAUCAAACAAUUAUUAAUAUUAUAUAAUAAAUAUAAAUUUAUUAUUGACUUAUUUAUUAUAAAGAAUAUGAACUUACUUUUAACUUAUAAAUACUAUAAUAUUUUUUUUUUAAUUCCUUCUUUAUAAUGCUUUAGAGAAAAAAAAUUCAAUAAUAAAUAAAAUAAACAAUGANNNNNNNNNNNNNNNNNNNNNNNNNNNNNNNNNNNNNNNNNNNNNNNNNNNNNNNNNNNNNNNNNNNNNNNNNNNNNNNNNNNNNNNNNNNNNNNNNNNNAUUCCUUCUUUAUAAUGCUUUUAGAGAAAAAAAAAUUCAAAUAAUAAAAUAAAAUAAAACAAAUGAUAAUAAUAAAAAAUCUACAAAGUGAGGGAGACAUUUAUACAAAGGAGUCUAGCUAUCGAUUGAUUUUAAUGACAUGACAAGUAAAAUGAUAUUUUUAGAAAUAAUUAGAUGACUCAUUAAAAAGUGCAUGUAUUUUAAAUUAUUUUUAAAUAGAGGAAAGAUAAUACUAAUUUAAAAUUUUUGGGGUACUUUUUUCCAUAUAUUUUUAUAUUAGUAAAUCAAAUCCCACUUUUCCCAAUAAAUUUUUUUAUAACAAGAUUUAUAAGAUAUAUUUGGAAACAUUUUAAAAAAUAACUCACAAAAACAACUUUUCAUAACAAUACUUAAAAAAUAUGCAUAUACCUUUUUAAAAAUAAAAUUUUAUUUAAAAACAUUUUUUUUAUAGGGGUGCAAUUUGGGUGGAUUGACCUGACCUAACCUGACAUUUAGACGAACUUGAAUAAUCUUUUUUAAUACUCGAGUUGAGGUUAGACUAUAUUUUUUCAACUUGAACUCAAUUCGAAUUGAACUUGGGUCAAGGUUUGAACAACCCGAGUCUAACCUAAAAUCAUUAAACUCAAAAAAUAUUAUAGAUGAAUUUUGAAUAAUGUAACGAGACCAACUGGAACUCAAUUCAAGUUUGGAAAAAGGAGGUUAGGUUAAACUUGAGUUGAGUGCCUCAUAUUAAAAGUUGAGUCGAGUUAAACUCAAGUUAAUUAUUUUUCAAUUCAGAUUAGGUUCAAAUUAGUCAUCAACCUGAUUAACUAGUAUCACACACUUAGUUAUAAAACAAAAUAUUCUAGAAUAUUCUAUAUAUUUUCAAUUAUUGCUUAAAAUGUUCUACUAGAAAAAUGGAAAGCACUUAAAAUUUAUUCUAAAAAGUAAUAAAAAAAUUAUCAAAAAACUUUUUUUUUUUUUUUUUUAAAAAAAAGAAGGUGGGGGAGAAUAUAGGGCAGCAUUGAUUACAAGGCGUUUGGGGGGCUUUAGGAGGAGAAAUGGUCACAUGGGAUGUCACGACAAGUGUGGACCCUGUCUUUCCUUGAUAGUUGAGUUGCAUUCAAAUGCGACCCCACACUAACAUCAAUUGUACUUGCCCACUCAUGAUAACUCCCCUCCAAAUUAAGCCCAUACCCCACUCGGCCACUCCCACUCCGCAUGCCUUUUCUCUAACUUCUUGUCCUUUUACGCCUCAUCAUUCCCCUCCCUUUCUCUUCCCUGGCCCCCGCUCACACCUUUAUCUUCCCUCCUUGCCUUUUCCCCAUUCUCCUAGAUUGGAUCUCCCCCGUCCAUUUUGAUUAAUAAUAUAAUCGGUCAAAAGUCUCAUUUUUUUUCUUUCCUUUUUUUCUACUUUGGUUUUCCAAAGAAAAAAAUAUUAAAGAAAAUAAUUUAAAAUGUAUUUUUAUGCCUAAUUUCACAGUAAAAAAAUAUGAAAAAAAUAUAAUUAAAAUUAAUUAUAAAUUUAUGCAUUUUAAAAAUAUUUAUUCUUUAUACAAUAAGUAAAAUGAAUUUCAAAAAACAUGUAAAAAAUAAUUUAUUAAUUUUAAAUCACUUUUUAUUUUCUUUCACUUUUGCUCUAUAUUUUCUUUUUCUCAUAUUUUUUGAAAACCAAACAUAGUUAUAAUAAAAUUCUGAUGUGUACGAAUAAAAAUUGAAUCUAAUAAAUCUCUUUUUAUGCAAAUAAAUUUAGUUUAAAUAACUUUAUAUUAAAAUUUUAAUAAUUAUGAAAUAGUUUUUUAAAAAAUUAUUAAAAAGGUUAAGAAAUUGUCAUUCUUAGUCUUUGCUAGUAAUUUGACUAACUAUGAAAAGUAAGGUUUUGUUUGUUUAGACUAUUUUUUCUUAAUUUUAUAGAAAAAGUAAAUAUAAUAUAAUAAGAAGAUCAAGUAUAAUGACAAAAUAAUACUAUGAAACAAAUUUUCAAGAAAAUAAAAAAAACAAUUGUAAAAUAAAAAAAAAAGAAAAAUUUUCUUAACCAAGCACAACCCAAAAUUUAUAUAUGAAAUUUGAAGUGGAAAUGACAACUUUACCUAUUCCCACACUUAUUUAGAGUUAAAUUAUUUUAUGGUUAUUAAACUAAUUUUUAAAUUAUUUAAAAAAUAAAAUAAAUCUAAAUAUCUAUUAUCUGCUUUGGAUCCGAUCCGAAGAGGUUCUUGUGACUUUAAAGCAUAUUUAUAGAAUUAAGAAAAACUUAUAUUUUAAACUUUCUUUUUUAUCACAUAAAUAAUUAUCUUUUUUAUUUUUCUUUUCUUACUCCUUCAAAAUUUUAAAGUCUAAAACUUUUUCCUCAUACCUUAAUAACCAUUUUUUUAAUAAAAAAUGUCGUUUGGGCCCAAGGAAAAAAGUUUUCAAAACUUUUGUAUGUGGCUUUCUCCAAGACAACCAAGCAGCCAGAGUAAAGCUAAAUUUCAAUUCAACUUUUCUUCUGUUUGAGGUCCCCUUCUCUUAUGCCUUGUUUGGUAUUCGUACUAUUAUUUUCUACAUCUUUUCUAAUUAAAUAAAUAUUUAUUUUAAUUUCUAAAAAGUGCUCUACACAAAUUCAUUUGUAUUUAUUUGAAUUAUAUUUGCAUUAUUUUUUCCCCUUCCAUUAUCUUUUCCAUCCUUUAUUUUUUUCUACAAAGUUUUUGAACAUCAAAUAUAAUUAAGAAUUAAACUUUUAUAUAAAUGUUUGAUUGACUAAGAACUCCUUUAAUAGUGACUAUAAAAAAUAUUUUUAACAUUUUUAAUACUUAAAUUUUUUUAUCAUUCAAAUGUUAAAAAUAUUAAAAAUAUUUAAAUUACUACCAAACACACUUUUUUGUUUUCCAUAACAAAAAAACUGAAAAAUAUGUUUGCAACAAAAAAAUAAGAUGUUUUUAAAGAACAUCUUUUAAUUAUUUUCAAUUGUUUUUUAAAGUUGUUUAAAAAAAAUAAUAAUUAAAAAUAAGACUCAAAAUAUAAAAUUUAUUUUUAAAUAUUAAAAACUGAUUAAAAAUAUUUAAGAUUCUCAUACAAACUUUUAUUCUACAAAACAUUACAAAUCAGUUGUAAAAAACUAUUUUCAAAAUUGUUUUAAAAAACAAUCACCAAAUAGAGCUUAAAAUUUUUUCGUGAAAUUUUAAAUUUUAAAAAUAAUCUUUAAAGACAUGAGCUAUUUUAUUAUUAUUAUUAUAAAAAAACUAUCACAUUUUAUAUAAAAAAAAAUAUUGUUAAUUUUUAUUUUUGAAAAUAGGAAUGUUUGGAUAGAAAAUUUUAAAAAAGCUAUUCAAUUGUGUUUUUUUUUUUAAAUUAUUCAAAAAUCAUUUGAAAUACUUCUCUAGAAUUUUAGAAGUUUUUCAAACAUCUUAUUUUUAUUAGAAAAUGUAUUAAAGUAUUAAAAAGUGUUUUUAAUCUCUUUUAAAAUAAUCCCAAACAGGCCCUAAUUUGGUUUGCUAACUAAUUUAUACUUAAUCCAUAUCCUAGAUCAGUAAACAUGUGAUACAUGUCAUAAAUAUAAUUAUAAACAUUUAAAAAAUAAAAAAAUAAUAGUAAAACAUGUGAUGCAUGUUAGACUGUAAUGUUAGGUGUAUAAAGCAUAGUUCAUGUGUGAGUGUCAAUAUCAAAGUUGCUCCAUUAUUUAAUGGUGGUUUGGAAGUUAUCAAAGUUGUAAGGGAAGACAGCCCCACCAUUGUCACACACCCCUCUGUUGAAAGCAACUAAGCCAUGAGAAUCCACAUCAAUCUCAUGAAUCCAAGAUUUUUUUUUAUCCAUCUAACAUCAUUUCCCAAUUUCUAAAAAAAUUAUAUUAAUUUCUAUCAUAUUUACCAAUGCAUAAUUUUUUUUUUUUAAAAAAAAAAAAAGAAGAAAAAAACACAGGUGUUGAUUAUGCUUAAUAUUGACCUACAUCUUAUCCUUGAUGUUACUGUAAAAAGGUGUGUCCAGAUGUGUUCUAAAUAAAGAUCUUUGAUAUUUAAGUCAUAUCUAUAUUUAUUGUUAUUUAGUUAUUAUAUAGAGAUUGAGUUUUGUAAUUUCCAUCUGAUUUAAUUAUCGUGACUCAUUUAUUUUCACAUUUAAUCUUAUAACAUCGACUCGUUGAUGACGAUCGACUAUUUAUGACUGCUUACUACUCGCAUAAGCUUUAGUCAAAUGGGACCACUCAAAUUGACUCUACUUGAAUGGGAUGCCUACCUGACUAGCUUACUAUUCCGAUACUCAAAAUAAGUACUAAAAAAAGAAUGUAUAACAAAGGGAUAAAAUAAUUUUUAUUCUAUAAUUAGAAAAAUAAAAAGAAUUUUUGCCUUAGAUUAUUGGUGUGAGUGUAUGAUGAGUUAAUAAAAAUACAACUAGCAUAAUAUUAUUUGUGGGGAUGAGAAAUGUGGAAGAAAAGUUGGGGAAGGCCCAUGGGCAAAGACAUAUGUGGUGGUCCCAUAAAGGCUAGGGACUUUGCCUUGAAACAUAGGAACAUGGACUCUAAAUUUGUGGAACAAAAGUUCCAACAUUAAUAAAUGUGCAAUAAUAAUGUUAGAAUUAAGACCUUAGAGUGCUACUUGCCCAAAGGAAGAUAGGGUCAUGUACCCCCCUAAAGAAAAAGGCACAUCAAACAUCCUCCUCACUCCUCACCACCCACCACAUGAAAUUAUUUUUGUUUUAUAAAACCUCCAUCACAAAAUUAAUACAUCCAUUGUGCCUUUUUCUUUAUUCUUUUUUUGUCCCUUUUUUUGUCUCACAAAAUUUAAAAGGAUACCUAAGUUUUAGCCACUAAUUAAUAUUGGUUUAAACGAACAAAAAGAUGAAAAAAUAUGUUUAAUUUUGUCAUUUUGAAAUGUUGAAAUAAGCCAUGAUUUUCUCAUGUUAGAAAUUCCAAAUUUUGUAAUUAUGUUAGGGAUAUCUUUAUAUAUAAAUUAAGGGGUAUGUUUUUUUCACUUAUUUCUAAAUAAAACUUAAGUCAAAAUAGUCCUUAAUAAUGUUAAGUAUUAAGUUAGCUAUUUUUUUUUAUAUUUUAUUUAUAUUAAGUAUUAGGAAAUAAAGAAAAGUCAAUAAAUUACUUUAGUUCAAUAAAAUUUUUUUAAAAUAAAUAUUAAAUUAAAAAUAAUAAUAUGAAAUCUAAAAGUAAAUUGCUUUGUUGUAACAUCAUUGAAUAAACAUAUAAAAACAUUGGGGAAUUGACUUUUAAAAAGUCAAAUUUUAAAAAAAAAUUAAAUAAUAAUUUUUAUAUUUAUUACAAAAAGUUAAUAUGAAAAUUAAAUAAAAAAUUAUAAUUUUUUUAUUAAUUUAUAUAAGAUAUUUAAUGAGACUUUUACAACACUAAUAUUAUUAUUUUAAAAAAACUUAUGAUUUUAUUUUUCAUUUCAACUUUAAGCUAAUAAAAAGACAAAUAAAAAUAUGACAUAAGAUUCUAUGAGGUACCCAUCAAUGCAAUUCCUUCAAUCCUUCUUUAUUUGGUCUAACCAACCCAACUAAUAGCUUGAUUAAAAAACACACCAACUAAUCCCACUUCUAAUUACAUCAACCCUUAAGAUAAUAUUAACUAACAAAUUAACUAUAAUUUAUUUAAAAAAAUUAUUGGUUUUAACAAUUCAAAGAUAAGACCAUAAGGGUACAAUUCACCUGCUUUAAUUGUAGCAUUGAAGUUCACUAAACCUAAAUAUAAGACAAUGGGAUCAAAUCAAAACAUAGACUAUUGGGUUUAUUAAUCCAAAGUGGCCUAAAAAAUUCAUUAAUUCUUGGUAUUUGGACACCAUGAUUUUUAAAAUAAAGUAUUAAUAUUUGGGUACAACCAUCCAACAAAGUGGAACCAUUCCAUUGCAUGGUCCAAGAUAUAGGGUUUAAAUUAAAUUAAUUGGAUGUGCCCAUCAUCAACUAUGGAGUCUUAGGUGGAAUUCAUGUUAAAUUAUUUGGGUUUGUGGUUCAUUUUAUUCCUUGCUUGUGGAGCACUCAAAAUUUCUAUAAUUUGGGACAUGGGUUUCAUGUAAAUUCCCUUUUCAAAACUUGGGUUUCAUCAAUUUGAUGUGAAGAAUGGGUAAUUUUUUAGUCCCUCCCACACCCAAUGUUUUGGACUUUGCAACCUCAUCUGGGUUGGUGUAUCGAAGGUAUGAAGAUUCCAACAAGCCAGUUUGUACAACAUGAACUUAAAAUAAUAGUUUUUUUUCUUCUUAUUGAGAUGUGAAGUAGAUCAAAUGAUGGUGAUGUCUGAAGAUCCGGAUCAUCCCAAUCUUGUAAUUGUUUUGGAGAAGUGAGAAUUUCUUAAUAAAAACUUGAAAGAUGCUUGAAAAUUAUUCUUGAAAUGACAUAAAGUGGUUUUUAUUUUUUAAGCAUUUAUUAUGAAAAUAGUUUUUUGGAAUAGAUUUUAACCUUAUUUAUUUGUUUUUUUAAAACAUUUUAAAUAAUGAUUAAAAAUAUAAAAAGGUAUUCUAGGACUUUACAUAUAUAUAUAUAUAUAUUAAAUAUGUUGUAACUAUGUUUGACAAAUUUAAUUAAAUAGAGUUUUUAAUUUAUAAAAAAAAUACAUUUUACAUUAAAUUAAACUCUCACAGUGUAACGAUCUAAUUUUAAUCGUGUAGAUAUUAUUCGUUUUGAACCUAAUAAAUUCUAAAAACUUUAAAAAUCAUUUAUAAGGUUAAAAAAAAAAUUAUAUAAUGGUUUUUUCCUCUAUUGAAUAUGAGAUAUUAAAAACUUUAAAAUUUAUUUAUAAAGUUAAAAAAAUUUUAUAUAAUGGUUUUUUCCUCUAUUGAAUAUGAGAUAUCACAAUCACUUUCAUGUUAACAUAAUAUCAUGGGACAUCAUUUUAGAGUGAAACAGGGUUAAACAAACUUCCACAUUGGGUCUAGGGUAAGCUCUUAUUGCAUUUAUAACAAUUUACUCUCAAUUGUGUAGAUAUCAUCCAUUUCAAACCCAAUAAACUUUUACAACUUGAAAACUCGUCUAGAAAGUUAAAAGAAAUUCAUAUAUAUAUAUAUAUAAUAUUAUAAAUUUUUUCUCAUCUCCGAUGUAAGAUAUUACACAUCGUACUAAGAUUGUCUUAAGAUAUUACACAUCGUACUAAGAUUGUCUUUUUAAAGUAUAGUUUUGGUUUUAACUUUAAUCUUUAGUAAAAAUACGACGCCAUCAUAAACAAAAACUAAUAAAGGGUUUAAAAGAGAAAACAAAAUAGUAACCACAUAAUUGGCAAACUCUUCCAAAACAAUAUUUCAUUACACACAUCGACUUUCUUUCUCCUCAUAAUCCAAAGUAUUAGGCAAUUAUUUAUACAUAAUUUACAUGCAUGUACUUAUCUACUAUAAGUGGUACAAUGAAUCUUCAAAAACAUAGAUACAUUUACCAAUGAAAAUUUCUUAUUCUACAUAUGCUUAACUAAUCAAAUGCCUUGACAUGGGGGAAUGUGGAAAGGGGGAGAAAUGAAAUUGGAGCCACAUGAAAUGGGCUCAUGAUGCCUUUGGGAGAUAAGGGGGUGCCUUAAAAAGAUAAGAGAGGCAAAAGGGGCUUUAGGCAUGGGGCAAAAGAAAAGGUGUUCCCCUUUUUAGGUAACACAUAUUUUCAAUUAAAGUGGGUGGGAUAGGCAUCUUUACCAAUACUUCUUUUCAAUAGAUUUGGUUCCACUUUAAUUCAUGUUGUUUUUGCAUUGGUUUGAUUAGUGACCUAACAUCCUUUUUUUCUCUCCUUCCUUCCUUUUCUUUAGGUCAUGAUAAGAUCAUUCACAAAAUUGUCACCCAAGAAAUAGUGGCCUAGAACCUUUUGAGCUGUCCCCUGUCACAAUUUUGGGCCUAGGUGAUUUUUUUUUUUUUUUUUAAAAAAAAUUUUAGAAAAAAAUACACAUUUAUGCAAUAAAAAAAAGAAAAAAAUGAAAAAAAGAUGCACCCUGGCUUAGGUGGGUCAGUUUGGUUGUUAUGGGCUGUUGUGGGUGUUUUUAGCCCAUUUAAGUUUUGGGCCAUUGUAUGAAUGGUGGGCCUAGCCAUAGGGUCAGUCUUUUAAGAGUCCCCAUGUGCCUUUUUAUUAUAUACACCAUGUGAUCUCCAUGAGAAAAAAAAAAUUUCACACUUCUCUGGCAUUUAUUAAAUAUCAUAUUUUAAUUAAUUAAGUGAAUUUAUUAAAGCAAGUUAAGGCAGGUAGUAAAUUGAGAGGUAAUGUUUGGAGGAUUUAGGUGGUGUGUUAUAAAGCAACUUAACCCAGACUUAAUCCAUUCAGACUUCUAAUCUAACUUAUUAAAGCAGCUUUUAGCACAGAUAUGGGCCUUAGCCCAAUGGUCUAAACUUGUCAAUGUUAAGGGAGACAAUAAGAGUCUUGGGUUUGAGUCUUUCUAUUGUCAGGUUGGAUUUGUGAUUGACUCAAAUCCAACACUUAACCCAAACCUAACCCAUUCAUACUUCUAAUCUAAGUUAUCAAAUCUUAUUUAUUUAUUUAUUUAUUUUCUCUUUGUUUAUGGGGUUGAAAAACAAUGAAUAAAUAAAUAUAUCCACUCUUUCCCUUCUUAUUCUUCAAACCAGAGUGAGUGGUUUGCAUGUUAUAAAAAAUACUAUAAUGUUCUUGUAAUAUUAUAUUCUCAUGGAUAUUUAAUUUUUUUUUAUAUGAAUAUGCAUAAAUAUUUUUGUGAUGCCACAUGGAAUAUUUUAGGCUAACUUAUGAUAAUAAGAAACUCUAUCUUAUAUUCAUGCUUAUGAAAAAAAAAAAAAAAGCAAAGGAAAGUCAAGAACCUAUGUGAUGUCAUCAUAUUUAUACACAUAUGAAUAAUAGAUACAAUUUGGAUUUGAAUUGAAUUUGGAAUGUUGUUAAUUCACAUUGCAUUGUUAUAUCUCAUUUUAUUAUGUUAAUUUUAUAAAUUUGAGUUUUGGUGUAAUAUGUGAAAUGUUUUAUGUGUAUACUUAAUUAUUUUUACAUAUGUUUUAGAUAUGCAAUCAAUGUAUUAUAUACCGGUUAUGAAUUUGAGUCCAAAAUUUGAUCAACCUAGAAGUAUAAAACUAAAAGUUUUUACCUAGUGAUUUACCUAUUUAUACCCCUAAAAGGGUAGUAUGAAAUGUUGUGCAACUAUUUGGUGAGACAAUUUUUUUGGCCUCUAGGGAGAGGAAAGCCAGUUUAAGAAGAUCGACAUGAAAUUUCUUAAAUUUUAUAAUAUGAAAUUUUUUGGGAUUUUCUUAUUAUUGUAUAAGUGAAUAUGAGUUGAAGACCUUGAAGGAUAACCAACUAAUAGUACAACAAACAAAUGUAAAACACACCUUAAGUAUGACAAAUUGAUGUUUCAAUAUGCAAUGACACAUGCUCAAAACAUUGUUGACAUAUGGUCUUAAAAGACAUAUUCCCUAAAAGUGGAAAGGGCACGAGGAAAUGUACACGCAUAUAAAAAUUGACACUCUUGAAGAAACCAUAUUUAUUCAAAUAAAAAUAACUUAUUACUCCCUUAUAGCUCCCGAAGAGGCACGAAUGAAAUAAAUAGCCCUUAUAGAGAUACAUACUAAAACAAGUAGCCCUUGAAAAGUUUCAAAUUGAAUGAAUAACCCCUUAAAAGACAUGGAUACACCUUUGUACUUGAAAGUAAAAAAAUCCUUAUUAGUUAUAUACAUGACACAAGGGAGAUGAAAUCAAAACGGUUAAACUUGUUAUUGACAAUGAAUCUUCUAUUUUGAUCGUCCUUUACAUCACAAGGUAGACUUAACCAAAUAGAAUGUCAAAACAAAAGUAAAAAUCGUUGACAUCACAUGGUCAUUAACAUCCCCAAAUCACGAAUCGUGAAAAAAAAUACUAACCUAGAAAUAAUUGGUCAAAAUAGAAAUAUAUAAUAUAGACAUAGCUAAGCUUGUUAAUGAAAUAAGAAGCAUUUGGACCUAGUCUAAAUGCUAAAAGAUGCCAAACCUAUUAAAUAUAAAUGGACAUGAGUUGAACGACAUAAAAAUUAUUGGAUACCAAUAGGUUAUUAUAUUAAAACCUAGAAUAAGUGUUGAAUAAAUUAAUUAUCUUGCUUAAAUAAUAAAAUCUCCUAGUCCUAUGUUACAUCCCAAAUUCUAAAACUAUGACUUAAUUAUAAUACAGAAGGGUUAACCUAUAAUUCUAGAAUUUGAAAUGUGAAUGAAAGGAUAAUAAUAUAAUAUUUGUAUAUAUAGUAUGUUAAUAAUUUAUUUUCAUAUCUAUAUUCUGAUAUACAAAUAACAACCAUUUUUUUUUUGCUUAUAUUAAGUAUAUAUUUCCGAUAAUAACAACAACAAAAUAUUUUAUUUUAUAAUUUUUAAACUUAAAAUUCUAUUUGUUCUAAAAGUUUAGAUAACAUGGUAGAAUGGAUUAAAAGGUUUCUGAUAUACCUUUUAUGUUGUUUUAGCUAUGCAGAAAUUUCACUAAAUAUGGAAAAACAUUCUUUUUUUAAAGUUUAAAAGUUUAAGAUAAAUAGUGGCAAAUUUUCUUAUUUUCAUGUUCAAAAUAAUUUUUUUAGAUUUUUAUCUUUGGUAAUUUACUUGGGCAAUUUAGAUAAAUUCAAUUCAAAGCUAUUAAUUUAUAACUAAAAUUGAAAAAAAAAAAUCAUAUUUUGAUUUACAUGGAAUUAGGUUUUGAGAGUAUUUCUAUUAGAUUCAAAUGAGAAGUAUUUUGCUAUUUACAUUAUGUAGACUAUAAACACCAAUUCAUGAGAAGUCUCCAUGCAAUAGAUAGUAGGUCACAAACAUAAAGAAUUGAUUAAGUUGGAUUUAACCGAUUUUUAUGUUAAUAUAAUGACAUAGGAUACUAGAGUGUAGUUUAUUCUCUAUAGUUAAAAUGUUAAGUCAACUUUAAAAUUAAAUUAUGAGGGAUCUAGUAUUUUCACAUUGGUCCCAGUGGCCCUCCCUCGAUCUCAUAUUCUUUGUUAGCAUAGAGGUUUUAGGAUUUAUAGAGAAUUAAUCGUUUAUGUGCAUAAAGACAUUUUAGUAGAAGCCAAAGGUUGCAUAGGAUUUUAUGAUUAAUUAUUAUUUUUAUUUGAAUUGAGUUAAUUAAUUAAUUGGAGCCUAUUAGGACUACUUAAUUCAUUAAGAUUUAAUAAGAUAGAUUAAGUGACCUAAGUCCAAGUUGGAACAAAGUCUAGCCCAUAAGACAAUCUAUAUAAACCAUAAAAGUUUUAGCUUUAACCUCUAACUUUUCAUACCGUUAGUCUUCCAAAUAUAUAACCUCCUUCUCUCAAGGUGUUUACCCACUCUACAUAAGUGUCAUGGAUCAAAGAAGAAGUGAUCAAGUGGAAGAUUAUUAGAUUUUGAGAUCUUUAUCACCAUCUUCAUCAUCGACUAAAAUUGAUUUAAGAAUAUUUAGAUUGCAGGUAUUGUUUUUCGAGUACCUAGAUCUCAUGUUUUUGUUACUUAGAUCUAGUAUCCUUAUGAUGUUAGUAGCAUGCACCCCAUGAUCUAGGGCUUGGAGUGGAUUAAUCCAGAUACUCUAACAUAAUUACCAUGACUUUGUUGUGUUUUUUAGGUUGUCAUCUUUUGGGAUAAGUACUAAUGUGUCUAAUUGUUUUUAGAUUGGAAUGAUUAAUUAUUUGUUAAAGCUAAUGAAACCUUAAUUUAAAUAAAUAAGAAUAAAAUAUGGACAAAACUUUCCAAAAAUAUUUAAUGAAAUGAAUAAAAGAAAAGAAAAUAUCUCAACGAGUUUAACAAUCCAAUGUAGAUUCCUUAGAAAGAGAAGACAUUUUAAAUUUUACGGUUUAAGGUCAAAGUCAACCUAAGAUCAAAUUGAAUCUAGGGAUUAAUAUUGCAUUUGGAACUUAGAUUUUUAUUUUUGAAAAGAGAUUUCUUAAACCAAUUAAAUAUGAUGGUUAAUUUUAGUUUUCAAUUAUAUUCAAUUAAAAACCUAUAUCCAUCUUGUAUAUUCAACCCUUGGAUUUGUUAACUAUGGGAUCAAACUAAGGUAAUUAAUGAUCAACGUCUUUCCAAAAAUCACUAGGACAUUUGUAAGAAUUCAUUGUACCUUAUCUAGGAUGAACUAACAUAGAGAUUUUUUUACUACAAAUUUAAUUAUGAAAACAUAGAGAAACAUAAUCAAUAAAUUACCGUUUUACAUGGUGUAGGAUUUUUCCUCACAACCCAUGUUUGGUUGCCAAAACAUUAAAAUAGAAAAGAAUGGAAAGUAAAAGAAAACCUGAAACUUUUAUUUGAGAUUUUCAAGAGGGGGAGAUCAAUCUCUCUCCUUAUGUUCCUUAUAUAGAUAUAUAAAACCCAAAAGGAGUGGAGUUUAAAUAGUAAAAAAUAAACCUAGACACAUGGAAUAGACUCAUUGGCCAAAACUAUCAAAAAACCAUUAUAAAAGUCUCAAAAAUCAUGAAAUUCUUAAAUCUUGGGCUUGAUGGGCUCUUCUUGGAGCUUGGUUGAUGCUUGACAGACCUACAAAUUGAAGAGAAACUUAAAGGAGUUUGGUUCAUAUUUAGGAAUAAAGGUAGGAGAAGCUUGAAAGGGUGUGGUUGUAUUUGGGAAUUUGAGUUUGAAAUUUGGAUGUUGAGCUCAAUUUUCAAACUCAUUUUCUACUAUUCAAAGCUUAAUUCAAAAUUCUCUUGAAUUUAGCUUCUGUCUAUUUUGCAUAAAUGUCUUCAAAUGGUCAUAUCUCAUUCAUUUCUAUUUCAAUUUGUGCACUGUUUAAAGCUUUGAUUCUUAAUUUCUCAAGUUUCAAAAUACGUAGCUUGUUGUAAAAAGCUUCUAGGAAGUGGCUAAAAGGUCAAUGCAAGGUCAGGUGUGUUGCAAUCGCUUUUGUUUAAGAUAAAUCUUCAUUUAAACUUAGAAACCUGACCUCAAAACUUCUUUCAUGGUUGCUUACUUUCUAAAUCAUUUAACAUUCAUUGCUAGUAUAUCAUUCUCAUGACUUGUUCAUUUCACCCUUCAUGUUUCACAAGUUGCGAGUCUCUCAUUUCUACUUAUUUAACCCAUUUCAUUUCCUUGGUUGAGAACGACUUUUAAACUUAAUCUUUUCUUCAUCUCUUAAACCUGGAAUUAAGGUUAAAAUAUAAUUUAGAUUUAUAACUAGAAUUUUAGAUCAAUUUAUAUUAAAUUGGAUGAUUGGAGUUUUUAUAUUACAUAAAUCAUAGUCACUAUGUGCCAUUGUAGUACAUGUUCAAGCUCCAAUCACUCACCUUUGAUAUGCUUCCACAUAGUUGAGUGGCGUAAACCCAAUUGAAUUUUGCAACAAUUUGGGUUUCGCUAGGGGAUUCCUCAACCAUGUGAUAAGGAGUCCAUAUUACAUAAAUGUGAUUUGUGAGGCACACAUAAUGCUUAUUAGAGUGCCCGACAUCAAGAGUGUAGACAUGUCUAGUUGAUUGCCCAUCUAAGACAAUUGAUGUAACUACACUAACUCAUCUAGAAAUUUUGGGUCAUAACAUAAAAUUAUUAGUAAAUAACUUUGUCCCUAUAAGAUUUGAUAAUGCACUUUCCUCUAAGCACGGGCAUAAAAAUAAAGACAUUGUAGGGCAUGAAAUUGUUUGUGAGGAUAAGUCUUAUGAAAUUAGUUAUUUAUCUUUAAUAAAAAUUAUGUCUCACUAAAAAAAAUAUAAAUAAUUUUAAAAAAUUCAAUGUGGAAAUUGUCUUAUUAAAUAAUAUUUUUAAUUAUAAAAAAUUUCAAUUUUCAAUAUUUUUUUUAAAAACAACUUUGAUGUAAGUUAUUUAUAUUUUAAUAUCUACUAUUUAUUUAUUUAUUUAAAUCAAUUUAUACUUAUUUAUUGAAAAGGCAAAUUUCAUGAAAGGAGUUGGUUUAAGAGAGAAAGAAAAAGAGAAUAUUAAAAAAAAUACAAUAAAUACAAUAAAAAUUUAUAAUUUCUUUUGUUUGGUUACAUUUAAAAAAAAAUAGGAAUUUUUUUUUUUUUUGACAAAUGAAUUUCUAAACUUUCUUCACCUUCAUUUAAGAUAAUUUAAGAAAAAUGAAAAGAUUUGAAAAAUCUUUCACCUUUUUUUUUUCUUAAUAUUAUUUUUUAUCAUAUCAUUUUUAUAUUAAAAUAAAAAAAUAUUUUCUUUAAUUUAUUUUUGUUCCUUUUCAAUCUAAAAAUAGUUUUAGGAAUAUUUUCAAUGAAAAAAUUUAAAAUUUAAAACAUUAAAAUAAAAUAUAAAUAUAGAAUAGUAAAAAUUUAAAUUUAAAUUUAAUUUUUUCUACCUAUUUAAGAUUGAUUUCUAUUUCAAAUUUUACUAAAAAUAUAAAUUGAAGUUUUUCAAAAUUAUAUUUUGUAAAAUAUAUUUGUGAAGAAAGUGUCCAAAUUUUACGUUUCUGAAAUUCCAGUUGAACUCAAAAACCUACUCCUCCCUCGUUUCCUCACCGUCGACCUCCGCAUUGCCUGCCGCCGGCCUCCUUGUCGUCUACGUUGACCGCCGCACUACCCGCCGUCGACGAUUUAAUCCUAGCUUCUUGUCUACUUCCUCCUUGUUCUCCAUUUUUCUUCUGUAAAUCGAAGCAAAGAUUGUUUUUCCCCCCCGAAUUUAGGGUUUUUUAUUUUCAGUUUUUCAAAAGAACCGGCUUGGAAUCCUAACCCUAAUGUUUGAAAGCCAAAACCUUUUGAUUCCACUCGUCGUCUUGGACUCGUUCUCUCACGCAAAAUUCACUGUCUGAAAUUAUAGCGUAUUUAAGUUUUAUUUGUUAUUAUUAUUUUUAUUAUUUUGGUUUUGUUUGUCUUUUUUUUUUUUUUUUGGGAUUUUCGUUAAUGCCAUUACAAGGUAUUAUUUAGGGGAGCAGCGGCACAGGGGGGCGUCCGGCAACUCCUUUUACGGGCGAACUCGGAAACCAUUGUUAGGGUUUUUUUUUUUUUGGAUUAAAUGUCGGAUUUUGAGAGACAGUAGCUCUGUUGUCAACCCAAGUUUGAUCAUGAACGCCCCAAUUAUUGGUGGGUUUUUAAUAAUUUGUAUGUUUUGGUGAUUGGGUUGUUUAGGGAUUUUUCUUACAUGGUGGGUUUGUUGUUGUUAUUUGAAGAUCCGUUGCAGGGGGAUUUUCCAGAAGUGAUAGAGGAGUAUCUGGAACAUGGGGUCAUGAAAUGCAUUGCUUUUAAUCGGCGUGGAACGCUACUUGCCGGUAAGUGUAUUACCAUUUCGUACUCUUUGAGAAUCACCUAUUGCAUAGUUUUGCAUUUUUUCAUUGUUACUAUAUUUAUUCUUGCAAUGUAGCUUAAAUGGAUAUGAGAAGGAUGGAUUUUUGUUCUCACUUUUACCUAAGAAGAGUGAGACAAGAAAGUGCUUAAGAAUAUAAGCCUUUUCCAAUCAGUUUAGUUUUUUUCUUUUCUUUUUCUCUGUUGAAGUAAAUGUUUUGAAGAAAUCUUAUGGGUACCUUUGGUUGCUGGAAAAACUUGGGAAAAGGAGAAUUGGAGAAAAUAAAAAUUUAAAUCUUAAAAUUUCAUUUUUUAGGACAUGUGGGUAGAAGAAAACUUCAACCACUCUCCAAAGAGAAUGUAGCUAUACUUUUGCUGGAACUCAGUUUCUCUCCCUCCAUUUUUCUGUGUUGCAAACCUUAUAAAGUUGUUACUAAAUGACCUGUGAAUGCUUUAUCAUUCUAAGCACAUAAAAGAAUCCUAUUGAAACAUCUUGGUUUUGUUCAUAGCUGAGGCUGGGGCUUGCACCAUAAAAAGGGAGAAAACUAAGUGGGAAGAUUGGCUAUUGUUAAGUUUGCCUUAUAAAAAUGGCGAUUUAAGUUGUCUUUCCACCUUUGGAUAAUUAGUGAGAUGUCCCUGUAACUAAUUGUGUCAUAGUGUGCUAAACCAAGAAGAGCCUACAUGUUUCUUGCCCUGUAGCUCAAGUUGGCAACCGACUCUGCAAUAUUGUGAACAUCAUUUACUGGUACAAACUCAAAUUUUGGGCUAGUUCACUGUCCCAACCCUGAUUUUUGGUAUAGGUCUAUACUGUGAAGUCUGCAACCAAUGCUAAUAUAUAUUUUGGAACUCUUAAAUAUCACAUGGUUCACCCUGCUUCUUGUUUUGUCCCUCCUUGUCCCACAUGAACCAUUACCUUAUAGUUCAGCCUGUGCAAUGUGUAAGGGGAUUUCAGGCUCUGUCUUGUCUGUUUUCUCUUGUGCUUGCUCGUAAGUUAGAUAGCUUGUUUCCAAGCUGCUUUUACAAGUUUAGCAUUUAAAAAACACAGGAUCAAGGCCCAAAUCUUGGGUGUAAGGCUUCAGGUUACCAAAAGUAGGCUACCCUAUUUGUUCAAAAUUUUCUUCCUUGACGAGGUAAGAUGCUUGAUUUUUAACCUACAUCUGUCUUUGAAGGUUGAAAAAUGAAGAUUCUGCUUCAAAUAUGGAUUUAAACUUUGGGAUUUAUGCAGUCCAAAAGUUUUUUUAGGUAAUAAGUCUACAUUGACUGAUUUUCUUGGAUAUUAGUGUGUGUGUGUGAUAUAUAUAUAUAUUUUGAGGUCUAUAAUACCUUAUUUUUAUGCAGUCCAAAACUUUGGGAUUUAUUUAUUUUUAUGAGGAAGAAAAGAAAAAAAAUUGCUUGUUUGAUUAGGUUUCAAGAUAGUCUGUUACCAAAUUUAGUUUAAUAUUUUCCUACAAAAAAUUUAAAAAAUGAUGGUUUUAUUUAUUGUAAGAUUUAAUUAUGUUUCAUAUAGUUACCCUUGAGACUUGGCUUGGAUGGCAAGGAGUUAAAGCGGGAAUGGAGUAGGUUCUAAAUUCAAUUGCAUAUCCAAUAAAUGGAUAAAGUAUGUAUAUCCGGUAUUUGCAUUUCGUAUGUAUAAUAUUCCUAAUUUGAUUGAGGGAAUGAAAUAGUUACUAAAUAAAGAAAAAUUUUAAUGUAGUGAUUGGAUGAGAAUUUUUGUUAGUUUUAUUAGUUUAAUGGUUAAUGCAUGAGGUAAUGCCACUUAUACCAUUUCACAAUAUUUUUCAUAUAUUAUUAUUAUUAUUUGAUCAUCAUCAUCGUCAUCGUCUAAAAUAGCUUAUGUUUAGUCGCAUCAAUUGACACAAAACAUUGUGAGAACUAAAUCACUAUCAAGAGCAACUUAUAAAUCACCAUAACAGCCAAUACUAAUAUUAAAUCAUGUUUUUGUUUCAUAAGGUUCACUAAUUCUUCAAAUGUGGGAGCAUGUGGUCCAAUUUUAUUUGCUACAGAGUCCAUAUAUGAAAUUAAAUUUGCUUCAGAUUUUUUCAUUCCCUCUUUCAGAGGGAGGGGGGAUGGGAGAGAGGCGUGUAAGGUGUCUAUGGUUUUAAAUGCUUCAUUCCUUUAACACGAUUUGGGGCCUGUUUGGUUGCUGUUUUUGAAAACUGUUCUGAAAAACAGUUUUUGAGAACAGUUUUUAAGAACAGUUUUUGGUGUUUUUUUUUUUAAAAUUGUGUUUGGGAACUGAAUUUUGAAAAACAGUUUUUGUUCUCAAAAACAAAAAAACAUGUUUGGUUGAGUUAAUAAAAAAAAAAUUUAGAACAAAUAAAAUAAAAAACACGUUUGAAAGAUUUUUUUUUUCUUUUCUAAUUAAUAAAAUAUUUUCUUCAAGUAAUUUUAUAUUAUAAAUUUAUAAAUAAUUUUUAGAUAUAUAGUUCAUUUAAAUUAAAAAAAUUAUUUAUUUUAUUAAUUUAAAAAUAAAAAUAUUUUUUAUAUUUUUUAAAAAUAAAUCAAACAUAAUAAAAUCAUUUUUAUUAAUAUUUUUUUAUUUAAUCUUUAACUUUAUUAAAAAUUAUAGCAUAUUCUAUUAAGUUGAGAUAAAAUUGUUCUCAUGAUUUGUUAAUUUUUUUUUAUCUCUACUAAAUAUAAAAUUCAAAAUGCCACCCACUUCUCUCAUCGGGCAUCAAGAAGCCCUUUUCUGAAGGAAGCCCUUUUCUGAAGUUGCCCUCCAGCCAAGAGAAUCCCUAAAAGGCCCUAUUUUCCUCUGCCACUCUCAAUCCUCGCAGGUACUAAUCUAAUCAUGUUAUUAUUAUUAUUAUUAUUAUUAUUAUUUUUGCAACCCCCGUUUGAUUCCCAAGAAAAUCCAUCCCCCAUUCGAUUUCCGGGAAAAUUCAUCCUCGUUUGAUUUCCGAGAAAAUCCAAGCAAAAACCCUGCAACCCCCGUUUGAUUCCCAAGAAAAUCCAUCCCCCAUUCGAUUUCUGGGAAAAUUCAUCCUCGUUUGAUUUCCGAGAAAAUCCAAGCAAAAACCCCAAGGAAAACCAAAAAAUGGAUUUUCUUUUGCUCCCUGUGUUUUCUGGAUCCGUUUUAGGGGUCUCUUUGCUAUUGUGCCAUUGGAUUUAAAUUUCACGAACCUUGAAUCAAAACUGAGAAACGGGAAAAAUCAAGAAGAGGCGACGCGACUGUGCUGGAGAAGAGAUGAAAACGGGAAGAAAAAAAAAAAAUGGAGAACAGAUGGUUUUUUUUUGUUUAAUUUUGUUCUGUAAACAGUAAAAAAACGGGGAAAACAACAUUUUGUCGUUCUCUAAACAGUGUCAUUUUGAGAACACAGGGAACAACAAAAACAAAAACGACUCUCUCAACCAAACGAGUUUUUGGUGUUUUUUGUUUUCAAGAACAGAAAACAGUUCUUGAAAACACUAAACAAACAGGCCCUUGGAUUCUCCUCUCAUUUUUUUUGUAUGAACAAGGGUGGUUGUUCAACAACCAGGGACCUGUUGUUAACAGAGAAAACAGACUGGGAAUACUGCUAGUAUUUGUAUUUCUCUGCAAUUGUGUUAGCUUUGAAGGUUUUCUGAUGUACUGGUUCAUUAGUUUUACUAUUUUAAUUUGUUAUUGUUUUUCUAUCCACAGGUACUUCUCUUGCUUAUAUUAUUGGUGGUUAUAUUGCUUUAGAAUUGAUCAUACAUGGCUUGUUUUUGCUCUUUUCUUGGGAAAGGGCUAGUGCUGUUUGUUUUUGAAUUUUUCUACCUCAUGGAGAUUACAUGGCUGUAGUGUUUCGGAUCUACCAUGUCAUAUGGAAUGUUAAAUUGACAUUGUUUUAGCUUUCUAUUUACUGCAUUAAAAGAUAUUUUAUUUUAGGUUGCAUUGCAAAUGCAAUUUUGUCAUUCAUCUGGACAGACUUUGCCUGUUGUUAGAAUGCAUUAUUCCAGUUUAUAUCUCCCAUUGACUUUCAUCUUCCUUCCCCUCCGAUUCAACAUCUAGACAGAGUGCCAUUAUUCCAUUCUACACCCUGCACUUUUCUUUUUGUAGUUGUUCUUUAUUCUUUCUUUUCUUCUCCAAAUCAUAUUUCUCCAAUUGUUUGUUAAAUACACGCUUAUAAGCAUUUUAGUGAAGAGAAUUAUGUGAAUAUUAUCUUCUCAUCUUUGUUGUUCACCAUGUGAUAAUUGAUUUGUAUAUUCUUUGCCAGCUGGAUGUGCUGAUGGAAGCUGCAUUAUAUGGGAUUUUGAAACCAGGGGCAUAGCUAAAGAGCUUCAUGAUAAAGACUGUGUUGCUGCUAUAACAAGUGUCUGUUGGUCAAAGGAUGGUCAUUGCAUUCUUGUGUCUGCGGCAGACAAGUCAUUAACACUUUGGGAUGUUGUCAGUGGGGAGAAGAUAACACGAACAACUCUGCAGCAAACCCCUCUCCAAGCUCGUCUACAUCCUGGUUCUGCCAAAUCCCUCUGCCUAGCUUGCCCACUCUCAUCUGCCCCCAUGAUUGUUGACUUGAAUACUGGAAGCACAACUGUACUGCCAGUUUCAGUUUCUGACACAGGUGCUGGGCUUCCUCCUCCAUCACGCAAUAAAUUCUCCGAUGGAUCCCCCCCUUUUACUCCAACUGCUGCAUGCUUUAACAAGUAUGGUGAUUUAGUUUAUGUUGGGAACUCCAAAGGAGAAAUUCUCAUUGUAGAUCACAAAAACAAACAAGUGCGUGCUGUUGUCCCCAUAUCUGGGGGUUCUGUGAUCAAGAACAUCGUAUUCAGCAGGAAUGGACAGUAUCUUCUCACAAAUUCAAAUGAUCGUACAAUCAGGAUCUAUGAGAAUCUUCUGCCCUUGAAAGAUGGACUCAAAGUCCUCGACGAGCUAAGCACAAGCUGUGAUGAGGUUGAUGAGGCGGAGAAGUUGAAGGCUGUUGGAUCAAAGUGUUUAGCACUUUUUCGGGAUUUUCAAGAUUCUAUCACCAAAAUCCAUUGGAAAGUACCCUGCUUCAGUGGUGAUGGUGAAUGGGUUGUCGGAGGCUCUGCCAGCAAAGGAGAGCACAAGAUCUACAUAUGGGAUAGGGCUGGGCAUCUUGUAAAAAUCCUUGAAGGCCCAAAGGAAGCCUUGAUUGAUUUAGCCUGGCAUCCUGUUCACCCUAUUGUUGUCUCUGUUUCUCUGACUGGCUUGGUUUAUAUUUGGGCUAAAGAUUACACUGAAAACUGGAGUGCAUUUGCUCCUGAUUUCAAAGAGCUUGAGGAAAAUGAGGAGUAUAUAGAACGAGAAGAUGAAUUUGAUUUGAUGCCUGAGACUGAAAAGGUAAAGGAGAGGAGAGACUGCUUGAGGAGAUAUUCUCUUGUUAAUUUUUCUUGUUUAUAGAUUUUUUACGCAUUUGCAGGUGAAAGAUACAGAUGUUAAUGAAGAUGACGAAGUUGACAUUAUGACAGUGGAAAAUGAGUCCGUUUUCAGUGAUUCAGAUAUGUCCCAGGAAGAACUAUGUUUUUUGCCAGCAGUUCCUUGCCCAGAUGUUCCUGAGCAGCAAGACAAAUGUGUAGGGAGUACUUCAAAGUUGACGGACAGCAACCACUCUGGAUCCCCUCUUUCAGAGGAAGCUGGACAGAAUGGGCAAGCAAUGAACCAUGCCUCGAGCCCUGUUGAAGGUAAUAUCAUUCUUUUCUGAUAACCAUUUGAAAGUUUAAUUGCCUUCUGUAAUUAUUUUUUAUUCUGAAAAUAACAAAAAAUGGACCGUCUUCAAAUGUUAUGAAAGCAGAAUAUGAAAUUAUAAUUUCAGUCCCAGUGUCAUCUAUAUAGCCUAGUGUUGUAUAAUUGCCCUUUGUUUUUUAUGUUUUCAUGGGAGUAGUACUCUCAACCAGUGAUGGAUAAUUUUGUUGCAGAGGACACAGGUGGAACACGGUUGAAAAGAAAGCGGAAGCCUUCAGAGAAAGGGAUGGAGUUGCAGGCAGAGAAGGUGAGGAAACCCUUAAAGACCAUGAAAUCUUCUGGUAAAAUAUCAAAAAUAAAAAAUAAAACUGUAGUAGAACAGGAUACAGAUAGUUAUGUAUUUGCGGAUGAUGUUACUGAUGAGUAUCAUUAGACAAUAAAUCGCAAUAUCAUUUGUACUUCUAUGAUCCCCAUCUUCUAGCCAGACAAUACAGAAUCAAUCUUUCUUCUUGAAAAUAUUUAGUCUAGUUCAAAUGUGAUGAUGUUCUAUUGGGAAUUUAUGAAUCUCUAAAAUGUGAAACAGAGGAUCCAGGAAAAUCUCUUCUUUCCUCUGAAAACAAAUGUAACUACAUUUGUAGACAAAUUGGUUCACAUAUGUAAGAAAUGAUGGAAAGUGAUUGUUCUGUGGGAUCUGAUGCUGCAGUGAUCUUUGUACUUCAUGGGUAUAUUUGAUUUGGUUCUCAAAAAUUGGAUUCUAACAUUCUGUUGCUGGAGGGGAGUGAGUCUGAUUCAUGAUAUUAAAGCAUUAGUAAGUGCUUUUAGGGUGUGAUUGGUUGCUGGAAAUUUGGGAGAAAAUACAAGGUAAAGAAAAUAAAAUUAAAAUUUAAAAUAAAUAAAUUCUUGAUGAAUGUAUUUUUGGCAUAAAGUUUUCACUUUUUUAUUAGAAAUGGGAGAGAAUAAUUUGAGUAUUUUUUUCCCUUUUUUUCUUAGGUUAUGUUUGGUCAUUGGAAAGUUUUUUUUUUUUUUUAAAAAAAAAGGUUUAGAAAAAUAAUUUUUUUAUAUAUUUGAAAAUCAUGACAAAAAAUUUAGUAAAAAUACUAAGAAAAAGAAAAUGAAAAUAUCAAUAUAUAUUCAGCAUCUUUUCAUUAAAAAGAAAAAAAAAAUGAAAUGUGAAAAGAGUUGAAGGAAAAAUGUAUUUCUUAACUUUUCUAUACAUGAUCAAAUAGUAUCUUAUUUUUUCAUAUAUAUUUGUUUUUUUGUUUUAAAGAUUUUUGAAAACAAACAUAAUAGUAUAUUUUUAUGAUAUCUAAACAUAAGAACUUUUUAUUUUCUUUAACAUUUUCCAUGAUUCAAGUACAGCUUAAGGAAAAGAGAAAAUAAAAUACUUAUAGAGUUAUGUUUGAUUUUUGAAAAAUUUGAAAGAAAAUGCAAUGGAAAGAAAGUACAAAAUAAAAGUAGAAUGAAAGAAAAAGUGAAGAAAAAUAAAAAAUAAAUUAAAAUUAAUAAAAUAUUUUUAUUUAUAACUUCAAACUCAUUUUACUUAUUUUUUAUUCAUCUAUAUAAAAAUAAAAUAACUUUAAAUUGUAUAAGUUUCUAACUAGUUUUUAUUAUAUUUGAUUUUAUUUUCUAUUUUUCAUAGGAUAAUUAAAUAUGAGAAAAUAAUUUUUCUUAACAUUUUUUUCUUUUUUUAGUAUUUUUUAAAAACCAAUGAAGUUCUUAAGCUUUGUUUGGUUCCUAAAAAAUUUGAGGAAAAUAAAAUAGAGAAGAAAAGUAAAGUAAAAAGAAAGAAAAGGUGAAACGAAAAUAAAAAGUACGUUUAAACUCAAUAAAUUAUUUUUACAUGCUUCUUUAAACUUAUUUUACUUAUUUCCCUCUAUCAUAUCAAUAUUAAAUAAUUUAAAAUAUAUAAUUUUUUGAAAAUUUUUAAUUAUAUUUUAUUUUCUUUUACAUUUUCAUGGUGAAACAAAAUAUAAGAAAACCAUUUUCUUUAAUCUUUUUUUUCUUUAAUGCUUUUCGAAACCAAACAUGGCCUUCAGUGUUGGUUUUUAAACUAGAUAAUUAAAAGAAAAACGGAAGCCAGAAAAAUUUUCUCAAAUUUUUUUUCUCAAUGAUCAAUACUUGUAUUAAUUUAAUGAAAUAACAAAUAUAGGUAAUUUAGAAUUGUACCUUGCGAUUAGGCUGAUAAAUUUGAACUCCACCAAAAGGAUCUCAGAAUUCCAAAUCCUCUAAAGCACCAUGGAUCUUUCUCUAACGUUCUCCAAAAAUGAUGAACUCAAAACGAGUGGGCGUUUUUCAUUCUUAGGGUUUUUUUUUUUUUUUUUUUUUUUUUUUUUUUUUUUUUUAUCACACAACUUAAUAUAUAUUGAAAACUUGUAUUCUCAUCCCAUCAUCCGAGAAACAUUGAGAGAAAAAAAAAACUUUUUAAUACCACGAAAAAAAUAACUGACAUAUUUUGAAUUUUGAAAAACAUGGGAGAGAAUAUCUCUCCCCAUAAUCCCCACUUAAAAAGUGUUUCUUUGAAUUUUGAAAAACAUGGGAGAGAAUAUCUCUCCCCAUGAUCCCCACUUAAAAGGUGUUUCUUAGGGAAUACAAGUAAGUGUGGUCUUCACCACAUUGUAUCAAAAAAUAUUUUAAAUAAUCAAAUUAUAAAAUAAAUAAAUCAAAUCAAGAUUGUGUGAAAUUAAUUUAGAAUUCAAAAUUCCAAACUAAUAAAAUCAACCCAACAUAAAAAAUGUUCAUAUAAUUUUAAUGGAGCCGUUGAGAGGAACUAUGGACAUUAUAAUUUUAAGCUCCAAUAAUUUUGACAAUUAAUUAACAACUUAAUUAAAAAAUCAAAAUUAUUAAUUCCAAAAUUACUCCACUAAAAAUUAUAAAAUUAAAUAUAUUCAAAGGAUUUGAAUUGCCCAUUGAUAUAGUCACUACAUAUGAGUCAAUCCUCCAUAAACGGUUCAUAAUUAAAGCUAGGUUUUUCCGUUAACCUCUUUAAUUAUAUCUUUCUCCUUAAGUGCCAUUGGUUCUCUUAUGAAUAAUAUAUUUAUGGUCUAAUCAUAAAUUGAGCGCUCUUAUCAUUCAAGGCCCGAACCAAUACUUAUGGGAACCGUCCAUCUGACUUCUUAACGAAGGAAUGGAUUUCAUCUUGUAUAUUAAUAUUCCCGGCUAUUUAUUUUAUUAUACUUCCAAUACACCAAGAAUUUGACACUAUGUAUUUGUGUCAUUACCCGGUAUGUCAAAAAAUACAAUAGAAUAAAUAGGAGUCUAUUAAUCACUCAGAAUUAAGAUCAAUGCAUAUAUGACCAUCAUUGAUUAAUAUUGAAUGCUCUAUAUUAUAACGGAAUUUAUCAGAGAUUCAUAAUUAAUCGUGUUCCAGUCCUAUAUAAUCAAAUUAUAUAAAACGCUUUCAUUCCAAUAAUCUCAUUAUUAACAAUCCAUAUAAGAUCAUUUCAUUCAGAAUGUAAUGAACCGCACUAGUAAUUUUAAAUUAAAGAUCCCAACUUUAAUUUUUAAUUACGAACAUAUUAGAUUAUUUUACUUUAAAUAUUAUCCUCCUGUAUAUAACACUUAUAUACAAUAUUUAAAGUUACAAUUAAAUAAUCUAGGGUUUUCGAUAUUUAUAAAGCAUCUAAAACAUUCAUGCAACAAUAAUAUUGAAAUAAUUCCUUAAAAAUAUUAAUAAUCAGCAAAAUAAAAAACAUCUCAUUUGUUUAUGGGCACAUAUUCCAACAAUCUCCCACUUGCCCUAAAUCAAAUGUGACAUGUUUCUAAGUCCCAUCCCUUCAAGAUGUUGCUCAAAACUCCGAGCCGGUAAAGUCUUAGUGAACGGAUCAGCUAUGUUGUUCGCAGAUGCAAUCUUUUCAACCGAAACGUCUCCUCUACUGACAAUCUCUCUUACCAGGUGGAAUUUCCGUUCUAUGUGUUUUCCUUUGCGAUGGUUCCUGGGUUCUUUGGCAUUAGCCACUACUCCACUAUUAUCACAAUAGAGUCUGAUUGGCUCAUGCAUAUUUGGAACAACUUCCAGUUCUUUCAUGAAUUCGUGAAGCCAGACUGCUUCUUUAGCUGCUUCACAAGCCGCUACAUAUUCAGCCUCCAUGGUUGAAUCAGCAACACAAGUUUGCUUGACACUCCUCCAUAUAAUGGCUCCACCUCCCAAAGUGAAAACGGCCCCAGAAGUAGACUUCCAAGAGUCUCUAUCUGAUUGGAAAUCAGAAUCUGUAUAUCCGAUAGGAAUCAAUUCCCUACCAGAGUAUACCAACAUAUAGUUUCUCGUUCUUCUCAGAUAUUUAAGUAUAUGCUUGACUGCUACCCAGUGAUCUAAUCUUGGGUUUGAUUGGUAUCGACUAACCACUCCCACUGCAAAGCAUAUGUCAGGUCUUGUACACAACAUUGCAUACAUCAAACUACCAACUGCUGAUGCGUAGGGAACUCGUCUCAUUUUCUCCUCAUCUUGCGGUGUUUUUGGACACUGCUCUUUAGAGAGAUGAACUCCAUGUCGAGAAGGCAAAUUCCCUUUCUUAGAGUUCUCCAUUGCAAACUUGACAAGCACCUUGUCAAUGUAUGCUGCCUGAGACAAUGCCAGAAGCCUAUUCUUACGAUCCCUAGUCAUUUGGAUACCAAGAAUGUAGCUUGCCUCUCCCAAAUCCUUCAUUUGGAAUUGGCUGGCUAGCCAAUUCUUUACCUUGGAUAGAGAUUCUACAUCAUUUCCAAUGAGUAGAAUGUCGUCCACAUAAAGAACUAAGAAAACCACUUUAUCUCCUCCUAUUUGCUUAUAGACACAAGGUUCACCCAGAUUUUGUUCAAAACCAUAAGACUUUAUGGCUUCGUUAAAUCUGAUAUUCCAAGAUCUAGAAGCUUGCUUAAGUCCAUAAAUGGACCUUUGUAGUUUGCACACUUUCUGCUCUUGGUCUUUGACCACGAAACCCUCUGGUUGGACCAUAUAAAUAGUCUCUUCAAGAUUACCAUUCAAAAAUGUUGUCUUGACGUCCAUUUGCCAUAUCUCAUAAUCAUAAUAAGCAGCAAUGGACAAGAGAAUCCUAAUGGAUUUUAGCAUGGCGACUGGUGAAAAAGUAUCUUCAUAGUCUACUCUUUCCUUUUGGGUAAAACCCUUUGCCACCAGCAUUGCCUUGAAAGUCUCUACUUUCCCAUUAGGUCCUCUUUUUCUCUUAUAGAUCCAUUUGCAACCAAUAGGCUUAAUGCCUUCUGGUAGAUCUACAAGCUCCCAGACUGAAUUUGAGUACAUAGACUCUUUUUCGAGUUUCAUGGCUUCCUGCCAUUUCUCUCGAUCAACAUCAUCCAUCGCCAUUUUGAAUGUCAAUGGAUCAUCAUCACUGCCAUCAGUGACUGCAACUUGUGCUUCUCCAUUUUCACGAUAGCGAAUGGGCAAUCUUAUUUCCCUCUCACUACGUCGUGGUGGCGGUGGUGUUAGAUCUUGAGCAGUGGUUUCUUUUCUUUGUCGUUCAACAACUGUUGUUGGUGUGGGGCUGAUCUCAUCAGCUAGCAACUCUUCCAGAACUACUUUACUUCUAGGUUUAAAAUCUGCCAUAUAGUUAUACUCGAGAAACGUAGCAUUUGUUGACACAAAUACUUUGUUUUCCUGAGCGCUAUAAAACAGACCUCCUCUUGUUCCUUUAGGAUAUCCUACAAACAUGCAUACCUCAGAGCGAGGUUCUAGUUUCCCAGUCUUUCCCUUUAACACGUGCGCAGGGCACCCCCAUAUGCGAAUAUGUCUCAAACUAGGUUUGCGACCAUUCCAUAACUCUAGAGGAGUGUUAGGGAUUGACUUACAUGGAACUAUGUUCAGAAUAUAUACUUCUGUUUGUAAUGCAUAUCCCCAAAAUGAGGUUGGCAGAGAAGAAUAGCUCAUCAUUGAUCUCAUCAUGUCAAGCAAAGUGCGAUUUCUUCUUUCGGCUACACCAUUUUGCUGAGGUGUCCCAGGUGCCGUGAGCUGUGAUAAUAUUCCGUUUUCAAUCAAGUAGUCCUUGAAUUCAUAAACCAAGUAUUCUCCUCCUCGAUCUGAUCGAAGAGUUUUGAUUGAUUUGCUAAGCUGUUUUUCUGCUUCAGCACGAAAUUCUUUGAACUUUUCGAAAGCCUCGGAUUUUCUUUGUAUCAGGUAUACAUAUCCGUAUCUUGAAUAAUCGUUAAUAAAUGUGACGAAAUAUUCAUAGCCCCCUCUUGCUUUGAUAUUCAAAGGUCCACAUACAUCAGUAUGUAUGAUCUCGAGAGGUACUUUUGCUCUUUCACCCUUAGCCGAAAAUGGCCUUUUGGUCAUUUUGCCUUCUAGGCAAGAUUCACAAACUGGUAGAGUGCCAACUUUUAGCUCUUUCAAAGGACCAUCCUUUGCUAGUCUUUCAAUUCUACCUAUGUUAAUGUGACCAAGCCUUAAAUGCCACAAAUAUGUGUCAUUUUUAUCAUUAGAAAUCUUUCUUCUUUUAGGGGUUGGUUCAGCGACUUUAAACAUUUCAGUUUGAAGUAAAUUAUUGAAAAUUGGUUUAACAAAAUAUAUACCAUUAUCAACAUAACCUGAACAAAUAUUCAUUCCAUUCUUAUAGAUUGAAACAGAGUCAAUAUCAAAAGAAAUGGAAAUAAAUUGUUCAUGUAACUUUGAAACCGAAAUCAAAUUCCGUUUGAAAUCCAUAAUAAAAUAAACAUUGUGCAAUAACAAAUAUUUAUUAUUAGCAAAUGACAGUCGUACUGUCCCAACUGCUGUCACUGAAACUCUUGCCCCACUGCCAACUCUCAUCAUGAAAGCCCCCUCUUCAAGAUCCUUCGAUGACUCAAGCAUCUUCAAAGAAAUACAAACAUGGUUAGAUGCUCCUGAAUCAAUAAUCCAGCUUGAGAAAUCAUUCUCAACUAAGCAUGUUUCCAUUACUAAUAAAUCUAAUUUACCUUGUUUCUUCUUUUGUUUCAGCUCAUCAAGGUACUUCUUACAGUUCCUUUUCCAAUGGCCGUCUUGAUUGCAAUGGAAACAUUUCCCCUUAGGUUUAGGCUCAACAGCCUUCCCUUUCUUCUUUUGGAUCUUCUUCUUGUCCUUUUGAUUUCUCACAUUUCUCUUCUUCUUAUUCCUUGAAGAAGAAGCCUUUCCCACAACUGCAUUAGCCUCAGCAAUAUUUGCCUUGCCUCCCUUAUCAUCUAUAAGGGUCUCAUAAGAUUGCAACUCAUUCAGGAGUUCUGUCAAAUUACAUUUCUUAUGGUUCAUGAUGUAGUUUGUCCUGAAUUGGAGGAAAGAGGGAGAAAGUGUCUCUAAGAUCAUGCCAACCUGGGUCUUUUCAUCAAUUUUAGCUCCAUUGAUUUCAACCUCAUUAAAGUGAUGAAUCAUUUUAAGGACAUGCUCACGAACUGAAGAACCAUUCUUCAUUUUACUGUUCAUAACAGCUUUCACAGCUUCGUGGCGGGCUUGCUCAGAGGGGCGUCCAAACAUCUGCUAUAGAGAUUCCAUAAUCUCUCUUGCAGUUUCAAGGCCCUCGUGCUUAGUUCUAAGCACUUCAUUCAUUGCUGCUAACAAGUAGCAGCGAGUCUUGUUAUUUGCAAUAAUCCAACGGUUAUACUCUUCUGAGACAGCCUUGGAGGCAUUAGCUGGAGGCACUGGAGGACAAUCCUCCUUAAGGACAAAGUGGUAGUUCUCAUUAAUGAGAAGAAUGUUCAUGUUGCUCUUCCAUUUUACAAAGUUUUCACCAGUUAAAACUUGAGAGGCGAGAAGUGAGAAAAUUGGGUUUGACAUAUUUGCUGAACAAAAAUAAGAAAUAUUUUCAAUAAAUAAUUGCAUAAAUAUCAUAAGAAAAUUAAAGGCAAAGUAAAUAUGAAGCAAGAAUGCUCAUGAUAAAAUACACCAAAAAUUAUACUUUAACAGCCUAAGGAAUUUUAAUUACCACAACUAAGUGCCGCCGUAGGGUAGGUCAAAUAAUUGCUAAUUAAAAUGAGACUUUCUCAAUUAAUAAAUAUUAUCCAAAAUAUCUCAUAUUUCUAAUACUUAUUAAUUUCCUUUAAAUUCGGUCAAGAAAAUAAUUAACCAAUUUAAUUAUAUCUUUAUGAGUGUAACCCACCAUAUCAGAUUUUUAAGAUUUAAUUUAGAAAUUGCCGCCGUAGGGUAGGUCAAUUCUAAAAUACAUCUUAAAAUCCUGUCUCAUGGAAGACAACCUUGUUAUUGAAAUUAGUAGACACUUUCCGUAGGGAGGACGAAAUCAAAGCGUCUCUAAGCGCUACUACAAACUCACAGUGUUGUAUUAAUGGUGGAGACCUAGGGUUUAUAUUGUAAUAUUACCCACUCCCACUCAUUAUAUUGCAAAAGGUGUAUUUAAUUUAUAAAACAACUAUUGUUUCAUAAACCUUAGACAAUUUAAACAUUUUAAAUUACUAAGCCUUUAUAAUUUUAAACAAUUUAAAAUUAUAAAUUAAGUCAUCUGUGACAUUAUAUAAAAUAAAAUAAAAAUAAAUGCAUGAAUGCAUGACAUGCAAAAAUAGGUAGGCACUUUUCUAACUAAAAUGACAUGCUAAAACAAGGGUAGUGGUGUAGCCAGGGAUAAAGUUCAGGGGCAACGUGAAAUAAACCUUCUUCAUAUACAUAACCAGCCAGGAGCCAUAACCUGGUGGUACUAGCAGGGAAUACCCAUCAUUCAUGGGUUUGAAUCCCCUGGCUCCACCCCUUGCAGGACAAAGUAAUCAUCAACUUUAUAAAUAUAAAAAUGGAAAUGGUCGGGUUCCAUGGAGGUUAAAUACAACCCAAAUAAAAAAAAAUACAAAUAAUAAAACUGGGUCUUCCUGUAAAUCUACAUCUUCAUCUUCUCCUUGAAAAGUGGUGGUCUCCAUUGAAUUUCUCAAAUUCAAUAAAAUUCAAAUUUCCUUGAAUUGUGGUUGUCUCCAUUGAAUUUCUCAAAUUCAAUAAAAUUCAACCCAAAACCGAUUUACAAUUACAGUAGUAAACCUAUUUACAAAAAAUCUUAUAAAAUAGGAAUUACAGCAAGAAUCCUAUUUACAAAAGAUCUAAUAAAAUAAUUAUUACAAAAAUAACAAAAUCCAUGGAACCAAUAAAAAAACGGCCUAUCCAUUCCCACAAACAUUCAUCACCAUGAACAUAAAAAUAAACAAACAUCAAUAUGCAAAAGUGCCUACCGAAAGCCAUGCAAAGAUUAUCAAAUAAUCAUUCAUUAAAUUAAUACAGAGUAUCAACCUGCUCUGAUACCAAUUGUUGGUUUUUAAAUUAGAUAAUUAAAAGAAAAACGGAAGCCAGAAAAAUUUUCUCAAAAUUUUUUUCUCAAUGAUCAAUACUUGUAUUAAUUUAAUGAAAUAACAAAUAUAGGUAAUUUAGAAUUGUACCUUACGAUUAGGCUGAUAAAUUUGAACUCCACCAAAAGGAUCUUAGAAUUCCAAAUCCUCUAAAGCACCAUGGAUCUUUCUCUAACGUUCUCCAAAAAUGAUGAACUCAAAACGAGUGGGCGUUUUUCAUUCUUGGGUUUUUUUUUUUUUUUUAUCACACAACUUAAUAUAUAUUGAAAACUUGUAUUCUCAUCCCAUCAUCCGAGAAACAUUGAGAGAAAAAAAAACUUUUUAAUACCACGAAAAAAAUAACUGACAUAUUUUGAAUUUUGAAAAACAUGGGAGAGAAUAUCUCUCCCCAUGAUCCCCACUUAAAAAGUGUUUCUUUGAAUUUUGAAAAACAUGGGAGAGAAUAUCUCUCCCCAUGAUCCCCACUUAAAAGGUGUUUCUUAGGGAAUACAAGUAAGUGUAGUCUUCACCACAUUGUAUCAAAAAAUAUUUUAAAUAAUCAAAUUAUAAAAUAAAUAAAUCAAAUCAAGAUUGUGUGAAAUUAAUUUAGAAUUCAAAAUUCCAAACUAAUAAAAUCAACCCAACAUAAAAAAUGUUCAUAUAAUUUUAAUGGAGCCGUUGAGAGGAACUAUGGACAUUAUAAUUUUAAGCUCCAAUAAUUUUGACAAUUAAUUAACAACUUAAUUAAAAAAUCAAAAUUAUUAAUUCCAAAAUUACUCCACUAAAAAUUAUAAAAUUAAAUAUAUUCAAAGGAUUUGAAUUGCCCAUUGAUAUAGUCACUACAUAUGAGUCAAUCCUCCAUAAACGGUUCAUAAUUAAAGCUAGGUUUUUCCGUUAACCUCUUUAAUUAUAUCUUUCUCCUUAAGUGCCAUUGGUUCUCUAAUGAAUAAUAUAUUUAUGGUCUAAUCAUAAAUUGAGCGCUCUUAUCAUUCAAGGCCCGAACUAAUACUUAUGGGAACCGUCCAUCUGACUUCUUAACGAAGGAAUGGAUUUCAUCUUGUAUAUUAAUAUUCCCGGCUAUUUAUUUUAUUAUACUUCCAAUACACCAAGAAUUUGACACUAUGUAUUUGUGUCAUUACCCGGUAUGUCAAAAAAUACAAUAGAAUAAAUAGGAGUCUAUUAAUCACUCAGAAUUAAGAUCAAUGCAUAUAUGACCAUCAUUGAUUAAUAUUGAAUGCUCUAUAUUAUAACGGAAUUUAUAAGAGAUUCAUAAUUAAUCGUGUUCCAAUCCUAUAUAAUCAAAUUAUAUAAAGUGCUUUCAUUCCAAUAAUCUCAUUAUUAACAAUCCGGAUAAGAUCAUUUCAUUCAGAAUGUAAUGAACCGCGCUAGUAAUUUUAAAUUAAAGAUCCCAACUUUAAUUUUUAAUUACGAACAUAUUAGAUUAUUUUACUUUAAAUAUUAUCUUCCUGUAUAUAACACUUAUAUACAAUAUUUAAAGUUACAAUUAAAUAAUCUAGGGUUUUCGAUAUUUAUAAAGCAUCUAAAACAUGCAUGCAACAAUAAUAUUGAAAUAAUUCCUUAAAAAUAUUAAUAAUCAGCAAAAUAAAAAACAUCUCAUUUGUUUAUGGGCACAUAUUCCAACAUUCAGAACAUAAUUUCUCCCAAGCAACUUAUUGUGCUUUCAUCUCAAUGCUCCUAUUGCCUCAUUAAAUUAGUUGCCAUUGAGCGGGUUACUCUCAUUAUUAAGUUUUUUUUUAUUCACCAAGUUAUAAACUUCAUAACUUGUUUUUACAAAUUUGUUCUACUAUUCAGAAAAAAAAAAAUGAAAUUAAGAAAUUCUGAUAUCUUUGACUUUUUUUAAAAUAAAAUAAAAAAUAAAGAGGAAUAAUUUAACAUUUAAAAAUAAGAUAAUUUUACCUCUUCCAAAACCUCACCAUACUUUCACAAUAAUUUUUAAAAAUAAUUUUAAUCUUUCUAAUGCUUAAAAGAAUGAAAAUUUUCAAAUAUUAGAAAAUUUAGAAGCUAUAAAAAUUUCUAAGGACUUGUUUAAUAACUAUUUUUAAGAAUAGUUUUUUUUUUUUUUUAGAACAAAAAAAACUGAGAAAUACAUCUAGUAAUUAUAAAUUUGUUUCUUAUUUUAUAUUUUCAAGAACAUAAAAUAAGGUAUAUUUAUAGAACAUCUUUUAAUUGUUUUCACUUGAUUUUUGAAAAUUAUUUUAAAAAAUAAUUAUCCAAAAUAUUUAUAAUAAUUAAAAAAAUAAAGUUUUAGACAUAAAAAUUAUUUAAAAAAGAUAUUAAAAAUAUUUUAGAUUUUUAAAUAUGUUAUAAAAUAUGAGAAUUUAUCGGAUUAUGGAAAAUUGUGGAUAAUUAUCCAUAUUGAUGUAUAUUUCUUUGUGACUCCCUAUAAAAGGGAGAUACCUCUAAUAAAAAUUCAUUUUGUUUUCUUCAUAUAUUCUAAUUUUUCUUUCUGUGUAUUUUAUUCUCUCUUUCUUACUUUUAUCAUAACAAAAAUAUGCAAAUUAAUACAUAGUUUCAAGUUAUGAAUUAUUUUAUGUAAAUUUGCACAUAGCUUCGAGCUUUGAACUUUCAUUAUAUAUAUAUGAUUUUAAUUCCUAUUUCAUAUUUAUACAUUUUUACCAUAUUUAUAAUUGAUAAAUUUUAGGUUAUUAUAUUUUUAGAUAUUAUUUACUUGAAAUAUUGUUAAAGUAUUUUAUUAAUAGUUUAUUUUUUAUUAAUAUUUUUAUAAUAUAUAUAGUUUUCGGAUAAUGUCAAACAUUGCAAAGCUUGAAUUUGUUACUCUCGAUAUUUUGGGCAAAAAUUAAUUAUCUUGGGUUCUAGAUGCUGAAAUUCAUUUAGAUGCGAUGAAUCUUGGAAAUAUCAUUAAAGAAGGAAAUGACGCAUCCCUGCAGGAUCGUGUCGGAGCUUUGAUAUUCUUUUGCCAUCACAUUGAUGAAGGAUUAGAAGGUGAAUACCUUACGGUCAAAUAAUCUUUCAUUCUCUGGAAUAAUAUAAGAGAACGAUAUGACCACCAAAAGAUCAUAAUCCUUCCAAAGGAACACUAUGAUUGGAUGCACUUGAGAUUACCAGAUUUCAAAUUUGUUAGUGACUAUAACUUGAGCUUAUUCAAAACUAGCUCAUAAUUAAAAUUGUGUGGAGAAAAAGUCACUAAAGAAUAUAUGCUUGAAAAAACAUUUAUGACUUUUUAUGUCUUGAAUAAGCUCCUGCAGCAGCAAUAUCGAGAGCAUCGUUUCACUAAAUAUUUAGAAUUGAUCUCAUGUCUUCUUGUGGCUAAACAAAAUAAUGAGCUUUUAUUGAAAAACCAUCAAUCUCGUCCUAUUGGGUCUGUGUCAUUGCUUGAAGCCAAUGCUACAUCUGUUCAAACUCUUGGACAUGGACAAGGACAAGGACGUGGUCGUGGUUGAGGUCGUGGUAAACAAAAUUCUUCUCAUCGUAGUGGUUCUCAAAGUAAAAAAGAAUAACUCAAAUCACUAGAAGUGGAAUAAUUCAGAGGCACAACCUGAAAAGGGGAUAGAACCACAAAGUAAACAUGGUUGUGAGAAUAAGUGUCAUAGAUGUGGAAUGAAAGGACAUUAGUCACAUGUUUGUCGUACUUCAAAGCCUUUGGUUGACCUUUAUCAAGCCUCUAUAAAAGCAAAAGGAAAGGAAGUUGAAAUGCACUUCAUUGAUAGUGGUGGCCUAGUGGAUCUGACCCAUUUAGAUGUUUCAGAUUUCUUUGAGAAUCCUAAUAGGAAAAUUGACCAUCUAAUUGGUGAUAGAAAUGUUUGUUAUAAUUAAAUGUUAUGUUUUUAUUUAGUUAUUUGCAAAUAGGUUUAUUUUGUUAUCAUCUUUUGAACACAUCGUUUAUUAUUCAUCUUUUAUAGUUUAUUUCACAUUUUAUUAUUUCUCAUUUAAAUUUUUUUCUUUGUUUAUACUUGAAGAUACAUGGAUCUCUCUCAUACCUUGAUACAUUAUGCAACAUCCAAUGUAGAUGCAUGCCUUGUAGAUUAUGCCACAACACACACAAUAAUCUUUUGAUUUAGAAAAUUGAGAUUUUUUUGGAUACAUGUGAAAUAUAUGACUUUGUCAUAUGAUUAAUAAAUUGAUUUUGCAUGUCAAUUUUAUUUAUAAAAUGUUUUUAUGAUUGAAAAAUUUUGAGUUAUAUAAAAUAAUAUAUAUUAUUGCAUGUUGCCACAUAUGGUAUUUUUAUUAAUGCAAUAAUUUCAUUAUCCAAAAAUAAUUUUGAAAUUACAAUAAGUUCAACUAUUGUUCUCAAUAUGUUAUGUUAUAUUUUUACAUAUAUGUUUAGAUGGAUUUGUAGUAUUUCAAUUAAAGUUUUGAGACGACAAGAUGUUUUAAAUUAUGAUAUGUUCUCUUGAAAUUUUGAUUUAUAAAUUAAUUUUUGCACAUUGAUUUAGAUCAUAAUAACAUUUUGAAUAAAAUUAUUGAUCUAUCACUACAAUUAGUUAGAUUAUUGAAAUGCUUCCUAGUUAUUUCAUGUAUAAAUUGCUCCACACUUAUAAAAUCAAAUGUGUGAGAUAUUUAAGAAAUAUAUAACUUUAAAUUAUCUUUUUUCAUAUUUGUUUUAUUGUGUUAUAUAUGCUCUUAUUUCUUUUACACAACUUAUUAAGUCAUCAUUGAUGACUAAUAUUUUUCCAUUAAUUUUAACUCUCUAUGAUAAUAUUUCUUUAACUCUAUAAAGGUGAGGUCUUUAUGACAUGUUUUAUAACUUGUUAUUUUGAUGAAACUCUUAUCUCAUUAAUUGCACAACAUUGAUGACAAACGAUGUUAAUACUAUAUCAGGUGAUAGAAACCUGAUUAAAGGUUCCAGAAGAGCUUAUACUAUGUCACUAGUAGUAUUUGAUUCCAUGUGAAUGACACUUUAUAUGAUGCUAGAUCCGGAAGAAUCUUAUAAGACUAACUUGGUCCCCUAGGGAAAAAUGUCGUAUGGAUGUACAUUAUAAAACCAUAAGUUUUUAUUUAGUGACUAGUCUACCUAUACACUUAAAAGGUAGAAUGACAUGUUGUGCAGAUUAUCAUUUUAAUGAGACAAUUUUUUCACUGUUAAGGGGAGAAGAGCCAAUUCUAGAAGAACGACGUAAAAUUAUUUGGAAUGCAUUGACUUUGACUUAUCUUGAUCCUCGUACUAAUCAAUGUGAACUAGAAGUUUAAAAGAUUAUUUAUUUGCAAGAACUUGCAAAUCAAUUACCAAAUGCUUUCAUGAAUGCAAGAAAAGUGACAAAAAUCAUUUUCACUAACCUAGAAUAUUCCAAUACAAAUUGAUGUCCCUGAAGAACAAUUAAAUAAUAAGUUGAUGUCCCUAAAGGACAAUUAAAUAAUGAGUUUAAGGCACACUUGAAGCGUGGUAGACCCUGAAAAGGCAAACACAUUCCCUAUAAGAGGAAAAUACAAUGAAAGAUAUAUGAAAUGUGGCACUCUUGAGGAAGUUGCAAAUAAAAUGAAUUAUUAAAAUAAUUGAUUAAUUUCAAGCAGCCCCUAAAUAAGCACAGUUUAAACCAGUAGCCCUAUGAGAGGCAUAUGUUUUACAAUUAGCUAUUGAAAAAAUACAAGUACCUAAUAUUGGUGAGAUCUCAAUUAUUUACCUAUAUAUGGAGAAAAAUGGGAUUGAAAUACUCUUGUCAUUGACAAUAUAUUUUCUUUCCAAAUAGCCAUUAACAUCAUAAGAAAUGAUGAGGAUCCCAAAUUAGAAACUAUGAAUGAAUGUCAAUAUAGAAAAGAUUGGCCAAAAUAGAAAGAAUACAUCCCGAAAAAAUUAGACUCAUUAGAAAAAUGAGAAGUAUUUGGAAUGUAGUCCAGACACCUGAAGUUGUCAAACUUAUUGGAUAUAAAUGAGUUUUUAUAAGAAAGUGUAAUGAGAAAAAUGAAAUAACGAGAUAUAAAACGUGACUCAUAGCCUAAGGUUUCUAGUAGAAACCUAGUUUUGACUACAAGGAAACAUAUUCUCCUAUGAUGAACGCAACCAUAUUUAGAUAUUUAAUUUGUUUAACAGUCUUAGAAGGACUGGGUUUGCAUCUCAUGAAUGUCGUUACUGCAUAUUUACAUGGAUCUUUAGCUAAUGACACACACACACACACACACACACAUAUAUAUAUAUAUAUAUAUAUAUAUAUAUAUAAAUCCUUGAAGGAUUUCAAAUGCCUGAAGCAACUAAUUCAAAACAUUGUAGCAUAUACUCAAUUAAGCUAUAAAGAUCCUUGUAUCAAUUAAGCAAUCCAAAGACAUGUGGUACGAUUACUUCAAUGAAUAUUUGAAGUGAGAAGUAUGUAUGUAUUACCUUAUUUGUCUAUGCAUAUUCAGUAUGUUGAAUAUUUGCAAUUAUUAUAGUAUAUGUGGAACAUUGAAUUUUGUUGGAACUUCUGAAGAGGUUACAAAAAUAGUUGAUCAUUUGAAAAGUAAAUUUGAAAUGAAAGAUCUUGGAAAACAAAAUUUUUUCCUUGGCCUGUAGAUCGAGUACUUUUCAAACGAAAUACUAGUUUAUUAGUCAACAUAUACAAAGAAAGUCUUGAAGCACUUUCAUAUGGAUAAAUCACAUCCAUUAAGUUUUCUAAUGAUAGUUCAUUCACUUGAAGUGAAAAAAAACAUCUUCUGUCCUAAAGAAGAUAAUGAAGAACUACUUGGUCUAGAACUACCAUAUUAUAGUGUUAUUAGUGCGCCAAUGAAUAUUGCAAAUUAUACACGACCAUAUAUUGUAUUCCUCGUUAAUUUACUUAUAAGAGAUAGUUUUGCACCAACUCAAAGACAUUGUAAUAAAAUCAAUCAUGUACUACAAUAACAUGGGUCUAUGUUAUUUUGAAGGAUCAAAAUCCCAAUUGUUUGAAUAUGUAGAUGUUGACCAUCUUUCAAACCCUCACAAAGCUUAAUCUCAAAUGAGGUAUGUAUUUAUUUAUGGUGGUACGAUAAUAUCAUGGAGAUCAAUCAAGCAAAUAAUGGAAACACGUGGACUACCCUCCAUCAGAGGUAAUGCUACCAAGUUAAUAAUGUUGCAUGCAUUACACAUAUUAAAGAAUGAUACAUUAAGGGUGAUAGAAUUAAACAUAUAUCGCCCAAGUUUUUUACUUUCAUUAACUCCAGAAGAGUGAUGAAAUUGUUAUUCGACGAAUAAGAUCAAGUGACAAUUUAGUAGAUCUAUUCACAAAGACAUUGUCAAUUGCAAUGCUCAAGAAGCUCAUUGGAAUACGAGUAUCAAAUAUCUCCAUGUUGUGCUACUAGAGAAAAUAUAAUCAUGUCAACAUGAGGAGAGCUAAUUGAUAAGAAUAUCACUAUGCUGCACUAUUUUUUCCUUCGUCCAGGUUUUGUCCCAUUGGGUUUUAUUGACAAGAUUUUUAACGAGACAAUUAUAAUGAUCUAAAAAAAUAUUGUACUUUUUUUUUUUCAUUAAGGUUUUUUUUAAUAAGAUUUUAAUGAGACAUAUUUUUAUGAUUAUUCAAUGGGGAGUAUUAUAAAAUAUGAGACUUUAUUGGACACUUGUGAAUAAUCAUCCAUAUUAAUGUAUAUCUUUUUGUGAAUUCAUAGGCUUUUUUUUUUUUUUUUUUAUAAAAUAUUAAGCGCCUAUUCUUAAAAACUAUUUGUAUGAGCUAUUUUAAAAAACAGCUUAGAAGCCAUUCUUAAAAUCGGAACGGAACGAACUACUGAUCUACUACUUCCUCGACUAACCUCCGAUGUUCUAGGAGACUUGUGACGCGUCGGACGGCUGGGUUUUGGUUGUAAUAAAAAAUUAAAAAUUUAAGCCAUCUUGAUUCUGGAACGAAAGCACGCGCUCUCUCCCUCUAAACCAUGCAGACUCUAUCAAUGGACGCUUGCAACUUCCCAGGUUCUCAUCCCCAAUUUCUAGGGUUUCGCGCUAACAGCCUCUCUUUUUCUUCCUCAUCUCCAAGCCCUGUCUCCUUCCCCAAUCGGACACCCAUCUUCCCCUGCAUCUCCUGCACCUCCAAUGCCAGAAGCCAAAACCCUAGGCGCAACACCCAUGGGGGAGGAAGAGGAGAGAGGCCCAAUGCCAAGGGCAAGGACAAUGUGUGGAGCGUGGACAACGACGCCUCGGCUAUGGUCCAGAAGGAAAGGGAGAAGGCGACCAGAAGGAGGAGAAGGGGUCGGAGGGUGAGGACUGUCAAAAGGAGUAAGGGCGAUAGGGUUAUGAUUUCUCAGGCUAUGUUGAUGGAGGUUGAAAGGAUGCUUCAAACUCAGGUACUUUUUGGUUCAUUUAUUUAUUUUUAGGUUUUUUUUUUUUUUUUUGGGUGGUGGGAAAAUGUGAGGGAAUGAAUGACACUUAUGUUGAGUUUUGGAUUUUCGUGUUUUGUAACUGGGGAAAAUUAAAUUUUAAGGAGUGGUGGUUGUGAUGAUUUGUCAAUGGGGUUGAAGUCACUGAAGCUUUUCCACAAACUGUGGUACUUUUGCUGCUUUGAAGUUUUGUGUUUGGUUGGUGGAAUUGUGGAAAAAUGAAUGAAAUUGUGAGUUUUAGGGUUUUUAUUUUUUUGGGGUUUGGGGACUGGAGAAAAUUAAAUUAUAAAGAGAAAUGAGGGGAAUAGGGAUAGUGAAGGUAACUGUUUUUUGAACUUAUUUAGUUAAGGGUUUUUUUUUUUUUUUUUAAAUAUAUUUAUAUAAGUUUUCUGUUUGGUAAGACAUUGUGGGGAAAAAUGGAAAUUUAAGUGGGGAGUGUAAAGGCUUUCAUGUUUGGAAUUGGAGAAAAUAAAAUUUUGAACAGGAGUGAGAGUGUGGUAUUGUUAGCGGAUGUUGAAUUCAUUUACUUCAAAUUCUUUGAUUAAUUAUAGAAUUUUCUGUUUGGCGAAGUGUGGGAAAAGAAAAGAUUAUUAGGUAUUGAAUAUUUACUUAUCGAAAAAUCUGGUGGUCUUGACUCGUUGACAAAGGUUGAGACUUUGUUUCAAAUUUUGGUAUUUUAAUUUUCAAGUAUUUAGUUGUACAAAGUUAUUGUUUGGGUUUGUGAGAAAAUGUGGCAAAAGAAAAAUAUUGAUGAACUGUUAGAAGUUUUCAUUGUUUGGGAACCUAGAAAAGUAAAACCUCAGCUAAACCAAGCAUGACACAACUAUUUUAGCUUCAUAGAGCAUGUAUCAUAAGCACAUGGAAGAGAUGCACAAGGUCAUGACUGAUACAUAAUAUUUCCAUUGAAGAAAGAUUUGGUGUGAUUUGAUUAUGAUAGUUUUCCCAUUGUCAGGUUAUCCUAGUCUUUGUAUUCUCCCUGAUAUGAUUUAUUUUGAUAAUCCAUUGAUGGUAAAUGUGGGAAAAAAGGGAAUUAAUUCCAGAGCUUGCUAACUUUAUUCUUUUUGCAUAAGAAGCUUAAAUAUUUCCUUGUUUCCAACUCAAGGCUGUUUUUCAGAUACCAGGUGCUUCAAUCUUCCCUCUGGAAUAUCUUAUUAUAUCUUUUUCAUUGUAAUGGUCUUCAAAAUUUUUAAAAAAAAACAAGGAAAGAAAGAAAAAGAAACUCAUCUAAUAACUGAGAUAAGCAGUUUUGUUAGACUCAGUUAAAUACAGGGUUUUGUUUUCUGGGGCCUAAAAUGAUGAAAGUCUAUGAUAUCUUAUUUUCAUGUAUUUCCUCUGGAGUAAUAAAGAAAGUUUACUUGAAAUUGAAACAAAAUCAGAGUCUUUAUAACUUGCUAGGGUUACCAGGUAAUGGCAUGCAUGCAUCUUGUUUCACAAUGGAUAACUUUGGGGUGUGAUCUGUGAAAUUUGGUUGUGUAGUUAAAGUACAAAAAUAUAGCUAUAAUUUUGGAUUAUGUACAAAUUGUUAAAGAAGGAAGUCAGAAUUGUACAAAUUUGGUUUAAAAUUUUCAGGAUUUAGACAGUUGGAUUUGGAUGCAAGUUUCUGCAUGUAUGCAAAUUAAAAAUGGUUUGGAUUUUUUAGUUUUAUAUACAUAUUCCUUUUAAUAUUCUAUUAUUUUAUAGGUAUAUGCUACGUCUCAUGUUGAUUUAAGCACAUUAACAGUUUUGUAUGCAGAAUUUCAAGGCUGUUUUUCUGGCAUCUUGUACUUUGACCUAACAAAUAGGGUGGUAUUCCUUUCAGGAACCUGUAAUUCGACCAGCAUGGAAUACAUUUGCAAGUAGUGUCAGUGGGAUAUGGAAGGGAGUGGGGGCAGUAUUUUCACCGAUCACUGCUGAAAUGGAGCCAAUUGAUAUUGGAAACAAAAGUGAAAGCCUAUAUGAUUGUUAUACUCUUUCCUGUGUUGAGGCUGUGCCACCCUCUGUUGGUGGGCAGACAUCUCAAAUCCAGAGGAAAAUAAAUUGGGUAACACUGAAUCCUUAUGGUGAAAUGCAAUGCCAGAAUGGAGGUGGCAAUAGAAGCAAAGAAGAGUUUACUGAUAGAGAUGCACCUUUAUCCACAAAAAAUGUUGAUGGAGGUGUGACAAACCAUAUUUUGCCUAAAUUUGAGUCUUUUGACUUUGGGACAAGUGAUGUGAUGCAAGAAGAUAUCAUGGGCCAUGAGUCUGGUCUUGUAUUCUUCGAGGUAGAUCCUGACCCAUCCCCUCUGUUAGUACAUUAUAUUAAACGGAUCAAUAUAUAUGAGAAAUUCACACCAUGGGUUUAAUAAAUGCCAGUGCAUACUUCCUGUAUGCUUUGGGAAGCUGUUUGGGCGUUUCCUUUUAAUAUGUAAUCUUUGUUUUACCUAUAAAAAUAAAUUAAUAAAUUACUAGAAUGGAUAAUGAAAACCUUUGGGCUUAGGAUUAUGCUGAAACUGCUAACCAAGGCUUGUGCAUUUCUUGACUUAGGAUUAUGCAUUUCUUGUUUACCUAUAUAGAAAAAAAAGGAUUAUGCUGAAACUGCUAACCAAGGCUUUUUGAAAUUUGAGAACUUGACAUUCUGUAGAAAUUCCUGAUUCCAUAGAGUUGUGUUUCUUUUUUGAUCCUUGAUGCAUGUUCUUCUUGCCUUGAUUAAAUUUCAUAAUUUUGUUUUAUUACAGAGCUAAAGUCCUGGCAUUUGCAGUUAACACUUUUCUUUUAAUAUCAGAAACAAGCAUUUCAAUUCAUUGAGUUGUCAAAAAUAUGCAAAGAUGGAUAAGUUAUGCUUCCCAAAAAAAAAAAAAAAUAUCUGACCAAAAAGAAGAAAGACCUAUAGGAAAAAAAGCAGAGAGGAGUUUGCUAUCUUGUUAGGUGCCUUUUUUAAAGGCACUGUUAAUAAAAAUUUUGUUUGCCCAUAAAAACAAAAAGAUUUUGCAAUCUUGUGGUUUCCAGUUAACCUGAUUAUGGUCCUCUCUCCUUUUUUUCAAUUUUUUUUUUCUCCUUUUUGUUGUUGUUGUUUAUGGGGUGGUGAGGAUUUGUUUCAAUUGUCUUGAGUUUCCAGUUCCGGUUUUAGUCAGCUUUUGGUGAGUGUAGUUGAGUUUCGAUUGUACCUUAAGUAAUUUAUUAGAGCAUUUUGGGUUUCAUGAACUUUUGAUAAUGUACAAGCAAGCAUUUUAAAAGGAAUAUAAACAUGUGCAAACACCCACCUAUAUGUAUAUUAAGAUAUAUAUUAUUGUAAAAAUGGUUAUUUUUAGGAUAUUUUAGUUGGAUUGUCUCACUAGUCACUACCACUAAACAAGAGGCAUGUGCAGGUUCAACUCUUCGUCCCUAAUUUGACAUAGAAUUAUUAAUAACGUACAAAUAUAACAUUUAUUGAUUUCUUUUCUACUUUGUGGACUUUCAAAUUUUCAAUUCAACUCUAUGGUCUUGACUUCCAAGCCUGAACUGUUUCAAACAGGCUAACCUAGAAUCCUAUUCUGAUAAUAUUGGGUGUAAUAAAUUUCUUGAUUCAGUUCUAUGAGAGUGCUUACCAUAUUAUGUUUUAGGGCACUCUGGGAAAUUUUUUAUUCCUUGAUUCUGCUUGAGUUUGUGAUACCAGAACUCUGUACCUUAACUCAUUGUUCUCAUAUGGGCCAUAUUGACAUAACAUGACAAGGAUGUGGGUGUGGAUCCUUGUCAAAUACUCUUAUUUUGCUUUGGAUUGACUUUAAAAUAUAGGGAUAAAAGAGAAAGGAAAGAGUUUUUUAAUCAAGAAUAUAUUACUUUUUGCUUCUAAUUAGUUUGUAAUUGAUUUUUUUCUUUAGUAUAUCAUAACCAAGUGUCAUUCAAGAUCAAUUUUUAGUCAAGUUUUCAUAUCCUAAAAGUUGAGAUUCUACAUCUAGGACCUAUACCCAAACUCAUGUGAAAUAGGUUUGAGUUACACAUGUUAAAACUUUGGCAGAAAACUAUAGCUAUAAACCUUAGUCUAGUACAUUAGAUGCAGUUCCUUUCUCCCCAAUCAAAUUUAUAUGAAAAUUUAAUGUUCCAUCUAAUUUCAAGGCCUUUGCUUGGUUGGUGCCGCAUAAGAAGGCAAAUACCAAUGACAUG
rnacentral:lncRNA from 1 species